rnacentral:lncRNA from 1 species
CGCGGGAUCCUCUUCCUCCAUCUUGCCGCGGACCUCCCCUCCUCUGCGCUCACGCUCGACGGCCUCGUCGACAUCGCCUAUGGACGGGGCGGCGGCCGCGUCGGUGCGUGGCUUCGAUGCGGCGGCCGCGGCAGAGCACGGCUGUGCGCGGGCACGGCGAGUAGGGCACAGCGGCCGUGGGAUCCUCUUCCCGCAUCUUGCCGCGGACCUCCCCUCCUCUGCGCUCACGCUCGACGGCCUCGUCAACAUCGCCUAUGGACGGGUUGUGGCCAUGUCAGGGGAACGGAGCCCUCCACCUCCCCGGCCCCUUGUGCACUGGUGGCGCGGACCUCAACCUCCCCGGUGGCGCGGAGUCAACCACCUCCCGGCGGCGCGUGCGCUGCAAGGGCCAUUUGCCCAGUUCGUCAAAUAGAGUGGUCUUUUGUACAAGUUGAUGAAAUAGAGCUUGUUUGUUCGAUGGAUGAGUGUGUGCUGAUGGAUAUGUACUGUAAAUAGACUAGUUCUGUCAUGUAAAAUACGUUCCUUUGUCAUCGACUCUUAUACUGGUUGAUGCGAAAUUGCUAGGAAAGAUUUUGCCUACGCCUUCUACCAUGUUUGGCCUCUGCACCAACACUGUGGUCCAUAUUUUUUUAAAAUAAUAAAAACUUCUUUGCCGUCUCGGAUAUAUGGGGCUGACGGCGAAGGCUAGUCUAGCUGACGGCAAAGGCAUAGUCCAGCUGAAGGCAAAGAUGGUUUCUUUGCUGUAUGCUAUUACUGGGCUUGACGGCAAAGACAGAGUUGGCUGACGGCAAAGUCUUUGCCGUCUUCAUGACGAAAAGCUGACAGCAAAGUAUACUUUGCCGAUUUAUCUUUGCCGUCUGAGUUUGCCGUCUGCUUCCUGACGGCAAAAUGUUUGCCGUCUAGAUUUAGGUCUUUGCCGUCUGGGAUUCACAGACGGCAAAUUACCUGUUUCCUGUAGUGAUAUAGUGAUAGCAUUAUUCUGUUCAUUACUCUCUAUGUGUUACAUUGCCAGCAUAUUCCAUGUGCUGGCCCGUUUUCGGGCAACAACGUUCAUGUUGCAGACUUUUUAGACGACGGGUAUGGUGCCUUAGGUCAAGAUCUUUCACUCAGUGAUGCUGUGGGAGUUGAUGGACUCACUUUAUCUUCCAAGCCUUCCGCUGUUAUCGUUAUUAGAUGGCCUUAAGCCAUAUUUAUUGUAAUAAGUUCUCUAUGGAGACAUUCGAUAUAAUAAGUGUGUGAUUGCUACUCUGUUAUAAAUCCUUCAAGUACUGUGAGUGUCAGCAUUACCGAUGCAGGGAUGACACUGAUGCACAGAGAUCAGACUGUUUGAGGUCUGGUCGCUACAAUGGGGAACCUCCUAAAACCCUCCAUGCUCGUUAUGUUCAAGAUAUUAUGUACUACUUUGAUAAUCCUGAGAAAACCCCAUACAAUUAUGUUAUGGGAGACACGUUGGAUCAACGUGAAUACUUUAGGGAUUAUCACUUGACACAAAAAGGGAAACUAUUAUGGGAUGAAAUUCAUAUGUUACGUUGGUAUGCUCGUCAACUAUGCUUGAUACAUGAUUAUACUUGCUGCUCUAGGAUGAAGGCUCCACACCUUCCGUUUUCAUGCAAAUUUAAUGAUAAUGAAACCUUAGCUUCUUAUGCUAAUGGUAUCUAUGAUUACUAUGAUGUGGAGCAAAUAGAAGAAUUCAUUGCUUUUGUGGGUGCUUAUGAGAUUGAAUCUAUGUUUAAAGAGUUUGAUGAUUUUGAUGAUUCAGUUUAUAGACCCGAAAAUUUUACUAUAAUUAGAUAUUGUUAUAAGAAUUAUGAAUACAAUUACAAUAUUGAUGCAUUUAUUGAGAAAGUCUCUGCUGUCCAAGAAGAGACUAAUAUUUUGCAGGAAGCUAUGGAAGAAUAAAUUGAUGGAACUGUGAGCUCAUUGGAUGAAAUAGAUGAUGAGGAGAGCGAAGAACAAAAGGAGGAAGAGUGGAUUAGCUACCCAUGCCCACGUUUUAAUGAGAGUAACUCUUCAACUCAUACAUUGUUUAAAUUCCCUUCGUGCUUACCGAAGGAUGAUUGCUAUGAUGAUUACUAUGAUGAUUGUUAUGAUCAAGUUGAUUCUCUUGAAAUAUCCCUUUCUGUUGAUGCUUGCUAUGCUUGUGGCCAAGAUGCCAAUAUGAAUUAUGCUUAUGGAGUGAACUUGCUAUAGUUUCUUAUGUUGAACAUGAAAUGGUUGUUAUUGCACCCACGCAUGAUAGUCCUAUUAUCUUUUUGAAUUCUCCAACUACACUAUAUCGGAGAAGUUUGUGCUUAUUAAGGAUUAUAUUGAUGGGUUGCCUUUUACCAUUGCACAUGAUGAUUUUGAUAGAUAUAAUAUGCAUGUGCUGCAACUCCAACUCCACCUCUCUAUGUUUCCAAUAUGAUAGAAUUGCAAGAAACUGCUUAUACUAUGCAUUGGCCUUUAAUUAUUCUUUUAUGACAUGCCGAUGCAUAAGAAGAGAGAUAGACUUUAUUUUUGCAUGACAUAUGUUAUUUUGUGCUCACAACUAAAUUACAAAUCAUUGUUAAUUAAAAUUGGCUUUGAUAUACCUUGGGAUCCGGGUGGAUCCAUUACUUGAGCACUAUAUGCCUAGCUUAAUGGCUUUAAAGAAAGCGCUGCCUGGGAGACAACCCGGAAGUUUUAGAGAGUCAUUUAUUUCUGUUGAGUGCUUUUAUAUAGUCUAAAAACAAACAAAUAAAUAGGGGAACCCAAAACUUUUCAAAAAGGAAAGUGAAAGUGAGAAAGACAAACACUAUUGAAGUGGGAGAUCUCCUUGAACUUUGUUCAUGCUCACAGAAACUUUGUGAAUCUUAAUUACAGAAACUUUUCAACAAAAAUAAUUAUUCCCUUGUAAAAUUCCAGUGUAUUAUAAAAAUAAUGUGCUAAGGUUUGCCUUUAGGAUGUUUACAAUGCUUGUUGGUUUGUACGGUGCAGGACAGAAACUUUGGCUGUAGUGCGUGAUUUUACAUUUUGUACUGGAACGUCAAACGGUCCUGAUUCUUGUUGCACUGUCUUGCUGUACAAAUUGUUUAUUUUUCCUAAUUUUGGUAAAUUGUUUGAGGUACCAGAAGUAUGGUGAAUGUUCAGAUUGCUAUAGACUGUUCGAUUUUUGACAGAUUCUGUUUUUGAUGCAUAGUUUGCUUGUUUUGAUGAAACUAUCAAUUUCUAUCAGUGGAUUAAGCAUGGAAAAGCUAUAUUAAAGUAGACACAAUGCAAAAACAAAAUAUGAAUUGCUUUGAAACAGUACUUAGAGUAGUGAUUUGCUUUAUUAUACUAACGGAUCUUACCGGGUUUUCUGUUGAAGUUUUGUGUGGAUGAAGUGUUUGAUCGAGGAACUUUCAAUAUGAGGAAAAGGAAGAGAGGCAAGAGCUCAAGAUUGGGGAUGCCCAAGGCACCCCAAGUAAAUAUUCAAGGAGACUCAAGCGUCUAAGCUUGGGGAUGGGGGAUGCUCCGGAAGGCAUCCCCUCUUUCUUCAACAAGUAUCGGUAUGUUUUCGUAUUCGUUUCGUUCAUGCGGUAUGUGCAAGUCUUGGAGCGUCUUUUGCAUUUAGUUUUCAUUUUUAUUUUAUGCACCAUGCUGGUAUGAGAUAGUCCUUGGUUGAUUUAUAGAAUUCUCAUUGCACCUCACUUAAAUCUUUUUGAGUAUGGCUUUAUAGAAUGCUUCAUGUGCUUCACUUAUAUCAUUUGAAAUUUGGAUUGCCGUUUCUCUUCACAUAGAAAACCACCAUUUGUAGAAUUUUCUUUUGCUUCACUUAUAUUUGUUAGAGCGUGGGCAUAUCUUUUUUUCGAAAGAAUUAAACUCUCUUGCUUCACUUAUAUCUAUUUAGAGAGAUGAUAGGAAUUGGUCAUUCACAUGGUUAGUCAUAAAAUCCUACAUAAAACUUGUGGAUCAUUGAAUAUGAUAUGUUUGAUUCCUUGCAAUAGUUUUGUGAUAUAGUGAUGAUAAUAUGUGGGAGGUACUAGUAGAUGGUUGUGUUUAGUAAGGAUGUUGGUGUUAAGGUUUGUGAUUCCCGAAGCAUGCACGUAUGGUCUACUAAUUAUGUAACUAAAUUGGUGCGCAUUGUAUUUUGAUUGCUUGUCUUUGCAUGAAGGUCGGGGGCGCGCGAUGGUUAACUCCUACCAACCUCCCCCCUAGGAGCAUGCACAUAGUACUUUGUUUCAAGGGCUAAUAAUUUUUUGCAAUAAGUAUGUGAGUUCUUUAUGACCAAUGUUGAGUCCAUGGAUUAUACGCACUCUCACCCUUCCAUCAUUGCUAGCCUCUUCGGUACCGUGCAUUGCCCUUUCUCACCUCGAGAGUUGGUGAAAACUUCGCCGGUCCAGCCAAACCUCGUGAUAUGAUACGCUCUAUCACACAUAAGCCUCCUUAUAUCUUCCUCAAAACAGCCACCAUACCUACCUAUCAUGGCAUUUCCAUAGCCAUUCCGAGAUAUAUUGCCAUGCAACUUUCAUCAUCAUCAUAUACAUGACUUGAGCAUUCAUUGUCAUAUUGCCUUGCAUGAUCGUAAGAUAGCUAGCAUGAUGUUUUCAUGGCUUGUCUGUUUUUUGAUGUCAUUGCUAUGCUAGAUCGUUGCACAUCCCGGUACCCGCUAGAGGCAUUCAUAUAGAGUCAUAUCUUUGUUCCAGUAUCGAGUUGUAAGUAAAUAAAAGUGUGAUGAUCAUGAUUAUAGAGCAUCGCCCCAUGAAAAAAAGAAAAGGCCAAAGAAGCCUAAAUAAAAAAGGGGGCCAAAGAAGCCCACCCAAAAAAAAGAAAAAGAAAAAAAGAAAAAAAGGAAAAAAGAAAAAGAACAGGGACAAUGUUACUAUCCUUUUUCCACACUUGUGCUUCAAAGUAGCACCAUGUUCUUCAUAUAGAGAGUCUCCUAUGUUAUCACUUUCAUAUACUAGUGGGAAUUUUUCAUUAUAGAACUUGGCUUGUUUAUUCCAACGAUGGGCUUCCUCAAAUGCCCUAGGUCUUCAUGAGCAAGCAAGUUGGAUGCACACCCACUUAGUUUCUUUUGUUGAGCUUUCAUACACUUAUAGCUCUUAGUGCAUGAUAUGUCUCCAACGUAUCUAUAAUUUUUGAUUGCUCCAUGCUACUUUAUCUACUGUUUUGGACUAUAUUGGGCUUUAUUUUCCACUUCUAUAUUAUUUUUGGGACUAACCUAUUAACCGGAGGCCCAGCCCAGAAUUGCUGUAUUUUGCCUACUUCAAUGUUUCGAAGAAACGGAAUAUCAAACGGAGUCCAAACGGAAUGAAACCUUCGGGAACGUGAUUUUCUCACCGAACGUGAUCCAGGAGAGUUGGACCCUACUCCAAGAAGUAACAGAGGCGGUCACGAGGGUGGGGGGCGCACCCCCCCUAGGGCGCGCCCCCCUAGGGCGCGCCCCCUGCCUCGUGGCCCCCCUGUUGCUCCACCGACGUACUCCUUCCUCCUAUAUAUACCUAUGUAUCCCCAAACAAUCAGAACGGGAGCCAAAAACCUAAUUCCACCACCGCAACCUUCUGUAUCCAUGAGACCCCAUCUUGGGGCCUGUUCCGGAGCGCCGUCGGAGGGGGCAUCCACCAUGGAGCCCCUCCGAUGAAGUGUGAGUAGUUUACUUCAGACCUUCGGGUCCAUAGCUAGUAGCUAGAUGGCUUUUUCUCUCUUUUUGGAUCUGAAGACAAUGUUCUCCCCCUCUCUCAUGGAGAUCUAUUCGAUUUAAUCUUCUUUUUGGGGUGUUUUUGUUGAGACCGAUGAAUUGUGGGUUUAUGAUCCAGCUUAUCUAUGAAUAAUAUUCGAAUCUUCUCUGAAUUCUUUUAUGUAUGAUUGAGUUAUCUUUGCAAGUCUCUUCGAAUUAUCCGUUUGGUUUGGCCAACUAGAUUGGUAGUUAUUGCAAUGGGAGAAGUGUUUAGCUUUGGGUUCAAUCUUGCGGUGUCCUUUCCCAGUGACAGAAGGGGCAGCAAGGCACGUAUUGUAUUGUUGCCAUCGAGGAUAACAAGAUGGGGUUUUUAUCAUAUUGCAUGAAUUUAUCCCUCUACAUCAUGUCAUCUUGCUUAAGGCGUUACUCUGUUUUUAACUUAAUACUCUAGAUGCAUGCUGGAUAGCGGUCGAUGAGUGGAGUAAUAGUAAUAGAUGCAGAAUCGUUUCGAUCUACUUGUCUUGGAUGUGAUGCCUAUAUACAUGAUCAUACCUAGAUAUACCCAUAACUAUGCUCAAUUCUGUCAAUUGCUCAACAAUAAUUUGUUCACCCACCGUAGAAUAUCUAUGCUCUUGAGAGAAGCCACUAGUAAAACCUAUGACCCCCGGGUCUAUUCUCAUCAUAUCAAUCUCUAUUACUUUAUUACUUGCUUUGUUUUUACUUUUCCUUUUACUUUUCACUUUGCAUCUAUAUACCAAAAAUACCAAAAAUAUUAUUUAUCAUCUUUAUCAGAUCUCACUCUCGUAAGUGACCGUGAAGGGAUUGACAACCCCUAAUCGCGUUGGUUGGGAGGAGCUAUCGUUUUGUGUAGGUACGAGGGACUUGUGCGUGGUCUCCUACUGGAUUGAUACCUUAGUUCUAAAAAACUAAGGGAAAUACUUACGCUACUUUGCUGCAUCAUCCUCUCCUCUUCGAGGAAAUCCAACGCAGUGCUCAAGAGGUAGCAGUGCAUCCGUUGCAUGACAAUCCCUACUCCUCGCAUUGACAUCAAUUGAUGGGCAUCUCCAUAGCCCUUUGAUUAGCCACGUCAAUGUGAGACUUUCUCCCUUUUUGUCUUCUCCACAUAACCUCCACCAUCAUAUUCUAUUCCACCCAUAGUGCUAUAUCCAUGGCUCACGCUCAUGUAUUGCGUGAAAGUUGAAAAGGUUUGAGAAUACUAAAGUAUGAAACAAUUGCUUGGCUGACACCGGGACAAGCAUGAGGGGUACCUUGUGUUUAGAAAAGGGAGCAUACAAGACUAUAUGAUUUUGUAGGGAUAACUUUCUGAAGUAUGGAUAUUUUGAAAGAUAUGAUUGUUUGUUGGGAUGCCCUAAGUAUUAUUGUUUUUAUGUCAAAUGAUAGACUAUUGCUUUGAAUCACUCGUGUCUUAAUAUUCAUGCCAUGAUUAUACUUAUGAUCAAGAUUAUGCUACGUAGCAUUCCACAUCAAAAAUUAUUAUUUUUAUCAUUUACCUACUCGAGGACGAGCACAAAUUAAGCUUGGGGAUGCUGAUACGUCUCCGUCAUAUCUAUAAUUUUUUAUUGUUCCAUGCCGAUAUUACUCAACUUUCAUAUACUUUGGGCAUCAUCCCAUCCAAGCCCGGUUGCUUCAUUUUUCAACUCCAUGAAUAAAGUAUAGUCACUUUUUAUUGCAUCCCAUUUGUUCUUGAAUUUAUCCUUGGGAUACUUCUUUCCCGUUCUUGCUUCCCAUUUCUCCAAAACAUUCUUCCAACCCUUCUUAUUUAAAUAACUUAUGGGCCUAUUCUCAUUUUCAUCCUCUUCUCUGAAUAUAUCUAUGAUUUUCUUCAGAUGUGCAUCAUCCCACACCGCUUUUUCAGUCAUUCUUCAAUCAAGCAAAAUAAUUACAUAGCAAUAGAUCAAUAUAUAUGUUCUAGGAAGGAAUUGUGCAGCAAUACUAUCAUACAAUGAACUAAACAGUACACAAUCAUCCAAUGUACAGGAACAUACAACAAUGUUCAGCUGCAGCAAUACUAGCAAAAAAUCGCCACAAUCAUCCAUUUCAUCACUAACAGAAAUACUUUUGAUAUAGGGAGCAGCUACUUCAAUCGCCACAAUCUCAAUCGCUGCAACAGCACGUGUACAGGAGACAGGAGGGGAAUGGGGAGUGCGGGAAAGGGAGCAGCUACCUUCAAGACUGGAGGGAAGAGGUCGCGGCGGGGAUGUCGGAGACGUCGCCGGCGGUAGCGCGCACGGCGGUGGAGGGGGGCGGCCUUGCUGGUUCCCGCGCGACUUGGAGAGGCGGGGAGGCAGAAGAAGAGCAUCGGAGGAGGGAGGAGGUCGAGGCGGGGAGGCGGAGGCGGAGGCGGCGCCAACAGCUUGGCAAGCGGCGGUGGAGGGGCGGCAGCGGCGCUGGCGGCGGCUAGGAACCCUAGCUGCCGCUGGUGUCGAUGGGGAUCGAGCAGAGGAGCUGGUCUCAAUGAGGCGUCCUCUCGUGGGCUGCCCUUGACCAGCCCGAACCGUUUUCCACUUCGGAGUGGCAACGGUGGGUAAAUACAUGCCAACUAGCAGGGGACAGCUAAAAAUACCAGUCCGAAGUUGGGGUAACGCCCGCUCCGAAAUUACACUACGAAAAUCUGGUAGCUUUUACAACUUCUGCUUCUAGUUUUCACCCUUUGGUUAGCUUCUAGCUUUGAAAAGCUAGAAGUUGGCUGAAAAAGCUUAACCAAACACAGCCUUAGCUUUGUUUUUAGAAAUGGAUGCCACCAACCAACACCCAGACCCCUAAGAAACAGUGGUGGUCUGGUGGAGGCCUGGAGGGUCAGAGGAGAGGCAAAGAGGGGACAACCAUAAGCAUUGUUAUACGUUAGUUACUGUACAUUUUUUGGAAAUGAUAAAUCCAGAAUGUUCAUAUUUUGACUAUGGCAAACGCGACGUUUUUAUGGCAAUUUUAGUUGACAUGAGGAUGGCAAUUUUUGUUUACAAGCACGGCAAUUAUCUGGCAAAAAAAUAAACCGAGGGCAAAUUUUGCCAUGCUUGCCAACUAAACUUGCCAUGGUCGCCACAAAAACGUCCGUUUUGCCCUGGCCAAAUCUCGAACAUUUAGAACUUAUGAGUGUCCUUUUUAUUUUCUUUUUUUGAGGGAGGGGGGGCGGGGUUGUUACUGUGCAACAGUACUGUGUAAAAGAUGUCACUAACGUUUGCUCAACGGUCUCUUUCAGAUAUAAAUUUUUUUUGACAGUGCACCCUCUGACCCUCAUGCACCUAACAGCCUUGCAUGCUAGAUCUGCAACUUACAUGUUUUACCAAUGCAAACCUGAGCUCCAGUUAUGAGCUUGCAUCAAGGUGAUGUGAGCAAAACUGAAAUUAAACUGGUCGGUUUUCUAAACGGAAUGGAAGUUUGCCCCACUGAAUUCUAAAGUAACAAUAUUGUUUACCCACUGAAUCCUAAUGCAAGCCUACAGUAAAAUGGUUGAUGGAACUUCCCGCGAAUUUCUAAGCUAAAUAGAGUAACUAUUUGUCUUUUGGUUCAGAAGGUAGACAAACCCCAAAUUCUUGUAAGGAAACUGAGAAAGUAUGUGGACCCAAUGCCAGCAAAAUACUACUACGUCUGUAAACAAAUAUAAGAUGUUUUAGGUCACUGAAGUAGUGGCCUAAAAUGUAUUAUACUCCCUCCGUUCGGAAUUACUCGUCCAAGAAAUGAAUGUAUCUAUAUGUAUUUUAGUUGUAGAUACAUUCAUUUUUAUUCAUUUUUGUGACAAGCAAUUCCGAACGGAGGGAGUAUUAGUUUACAGACGGAAUAGAAAACAACCAAACACUUGCAGCAACAGGCUAUUAUCAACAAAAUAUAAAUAGAUCUAUCACUGCUGGUGAUCCGACAGUUUGUGAGUAUUAAAAAACAGCUUGCCUGGGGUUUGUCCGAAGUAGGAUUGAAGUAAACAAAGUACAUGGGAGUGACUGAAUGGAACCUUGGCUAACAGUAGAAUCUGAGCCAAGCUGCCUAGCUCCUGUAUUUCAUCUCAUCGUGAUCGUGAUCCCUGAUCAUCACCGUGCUUCGUGUCUUGAUUUCUGUGUAGCGCGUUUAUCUUCUCCCGAGACACCCUGCGCACUGGAGUGAGCAGAAGCAGCACUUAGAGAGAGCUUUGCCUUCAGAAAUAGAUGUCACCCAUAAUGAAGACAAUGGUGCAGGCAGGCUCUCGAUUCUGUAGAGCAGCUGUGGAGUCACAAUGCCAAGUGGAUGAACAAAAAAAAAAAGGCAGCCGAAAUGGAUGCCACCAAGACACGAAUAACCCUAACCAUCUUCUCCAACAUUAGCAAGCAGAAACAGUGGUGGAGGGGUGAAGGAGAGGCAGAGAGGGGAAGCACAGGCAUUGCAUGCCUUUAUGCGAGUUACUGUGUGGGGUUUGGCAUUUAGUGGUACAAAUUACUACUGUGCAGUAGUAAUGUGUAAAGAUGGUGCUCUGUUGAAAAAUAGUUUUGGAGCUCGGGCGGCAGGGAGCUCGGUAUCCCUACCAUCCAGCCUCCUCGUUAUCCAGACUUCUGCUAUAUUGGCAGGCUGUAUAUGGAUGUAUUUAACCCAAUUAGCAAAGUGCAUGGACCCACAUCACGGCCCAGAACUCUGGAAAGGUGGCUCAUAUCCCUGACAUAUUACUCCCUCCGUUCCUAAAUAUAUGUCUUUGUAGAGAUUUUACUAUAAACCACAUACGAAUGUAUAUAGAUGCAUUUUGAAUGUAGAUUCAUUCAUUUUGUUCCGUAUGUAGUCCAUAGUGAAAUCUCUAUAUAGACUUACAUUUAGGAACGGAGGAAGUAUUUAAUAGCUACAGAUCAACAACCAUGACCAAGAAAUGUGCCGUGCCACAAAAAUUACCAGAUGCAUUGAGAUGUUGUUUAUUAAGGCUGCAAUUAAAAUUGCCAGUGGCAUUUGGACAGCACAAACUAGCUGAAUAAACGAAAUUAGCAGAGUUCGACAUUUCUCAUGCACAACUUAUUUGGCCAUUACAAAAAUUAUUUUGCACAAAGACACAUGACCUGCACAGGAAGAAGUCCAGUUUCAAAAAUGAUUGUCACUAGAUAAUCUUAUGCAUAGAUAGUUUGCACUUUAGAUGAACAGAUCAUGAUUUUGAAAGAAAAAAUGAUUGGUAAUAAUAUCUUUCUAGGGAGGAGGAUUUACAAGAAAAAAUCAGGCAAGAACCAUGGAGAUAGCUUCGUCCAGAAUACUGAACCAAAAAGUUAAAUUCAAAAACAAGAUACAAAGAUUCAAGUGUCAGAUCUCAUGGCCACAAUAAUAGAGGUUAAAUGCACUCGUGCACAAUCCGUAGUAGACACAUUGCAAGCAUGAAACUAGUAUGAACAUAUCAACCGCUAUGCACAUCAUUCUGAACAAAGAAGUUAAAUUCAAAACCAGUAUGAGGAUUUAAUUCACAGCCACAUAAUACCAUUCAGAUUUCUGGAUACAAGUAUGAAACAUGCAAAUAUGGAUUCUGCAACUCUGUAUUACAUUCCUCCACAAAAAGAACAAUUCAAGUUCAGUAUGUUUAAUUCACACAGAAAAAUAUACAAGAAAACUACAAGAAACCUUUGAUCCAUGAAAACCAUCAAUGUUUUCCUCCUGUCCUGGCGGCUGGAACCCUAGCCGCCGCCAGGAGAGCCCAAUCUUCCAGCACCGUCCUCCAGCGGCUCCUCUCCACCGGCGACCUCGGUCGUCGGUGGUGAGGGGGUCGCCGGAUCCACGUGUGUGGAUCAUUUUUACUCCCUCGUAGUCUAGAUUUUUAGGCUAUUUCAUCGUCUUUGUUUCGGCGGCGAUGAUUACAGCGCUGAAUAAAGAUUCUUCGGAUCCUUCGUUGACAAGGCCAUCGGUCCUAUGGUUGGGGAUGGAUUUGGAAACCAGUCUGUUCAAGCAAGGAUGGUGUGGCGGCGGCGGCAUCCUCUUGGUGGACCUGUGUCCUCGGGCUCUGCCGUUGCGACGGCGUUUGCUCCAGCGUCAGCGCAGAGCUUGGGAGGUAGUCCAGGAGCGGAUGCAGAUUGUGGUCUGCAUCGACGACAUCUGAAGGACAGAACAUGUCUGGGUUCGUGGUUCAUGGAUGGCAGGUAUGGUUUCCUUCUGCGAUGUCUUAGUCGCGGUGGGGUGCCAGAUCUGUAGUUCGAUGGCAUAUCCGGGGUGUUGCAUCGGCCUGAUUCGAUCAACGGUAAGGGCUUCACUUUUGGUGAGCCACCUUGGAGGUCUGCAAAGCUGCAUAUCAGCGAUGGAGCCGCGUCAAGCUCGAGUGAGGAGGUGAUCCAUCAUUCUUUUCUUCGGUGGUUGUUGUCGUGGUGCCUGAGACAGGUGAAGGGCGUUGGUGUCAAGCUCAGAGAUGUUCUGCUAUCUUUACAGUUUUGUCAUGUCGGUCCUUACGUGACUUGUACUUUAAUCUUUAUGAUAUAAAUGAGACACGUAUUACCAUGCAAAAAAAUGAAAACCAUCAAUCAAUUGUUCUAUUUGAUAGUACAAAAGGCAAAAGAACUCAUGAAUAGAAACCAACAACAUAUAACUGAUAUGGGGAUUCAAGAUUGGAAAAGAACCAGGCCAAAUUAGCAACAGUACAGCCUGGAUUUGAACGAAGACCACCUCGCCGAGAGACGAGAGCUGCAGGUAGUGGUGGAUCGCUGCAACCGACGGCCAUGUCUUCACUUCUCCAUUGGUGAAGUGGUUCUUUCCACAGGUCAACAUAAGUUUAUCCACAAGUUAAACUACUAAUAAGAAUUUGCUAUUACUGAUUGGUUGUCUCUCAAACUUACAUUUGUUCAGCACAAAUCUUUACCAUGCUCUAUUCCCACUACAUUCAAAAUCUCUCACCCCCAUUAUAUGCACAAUCCAGACAAGUCUGAAUCGAUUAAACACAACUACCAGCACAAUUAACAAUAUUUAGGUUUUGGCCAGAAGUAGUCGAACCGGACAUUUACCUGAAGCAGUGUUUAGCCAAAUUAAAAAAAAAAUCCUUUCCGUUGAGAACUACAUCAGAUUGGCCAAAAAGUUUUGGUUCAUUAUAACAUAAAUCAUUGAACAAAUAACCCAAUGAUCUCUUGUGGCAAGAAAUAAUCAAAUGUUGAUUUUUAGUGUGCAUUUUUUUCAUUUAAUUUUUUAGGGUACAUUAUUUUCAACAACAAUUCUCGCAAAAAAGAAUGCUUAAUUUCACACAAAGAACUGUUUCAAAAUCUGGGCACAUGAAAGAUCAAGGUUCAUGAAUGGAUAAGCACAUGUGCCACACUCCAAUGAACUUAAUGAACCAAAGAAGCAUAAACAAAGAAGAAAUCACUACUUGCAUGGAGAAUCAGUAUAGUUUCCUUUCUGUCAGCCUUGGAAAAAUUGCAACAGAGAAAUCAGGAGAACUCUGUCCUCCACAAAAAAAUUGAGUUCCACAAUCAAUCAAUUGAGUUCAGUAUGUUUUACUUUACGCAGAGAAAAAACAUAGAGAAUUACUAGAAACCUGUGUUCCAUGAAAACAAUCAAUCAAUUGGUUUUAUUUGCUAGUACAAAAGGCAAAGGAUCCAUAGAUAGAAAUCAACUACGUCUAACUGCUAUGGGAAUUGAAGAUUAGAAAAAAACCAUGCCUAAUUAGCAACAGUACAACCUGAAUCUGGAUGAUGACUACCUCACCGAGAGAUGGCAGCUGCAGAUAAUGGUGGAUUGCUGCAGCCGGCGGCGAUGCCAUCAAUUCUCCACCGACUCCUCAUGCGAGAUAUGCAACAGAUGUCACGGGCGCCCUCAGAUCUGGCCGGGAGCACCUCCCAUCUUCUCCAUGUUACCACCUAUCGAGAGAUCUGCACCUUGCCGUCGCACGUCAGAGCUACACCGCACGAGAACGUCACCUCGUCGUCGUCGUCAUCGCCGUCCGCGUCGGUAGGCACCUCAUGGGCAGAGACGGGGAGAGGGGCGGCGGCGGCGACAGGAAUGAGCAAGUUAAAAGGCACCUCCGUAGAUGAGUGUGGACGUUCUGGACGCAGCGGCAUCUGCGCGUAGCGAAAAUGCUAAACCUACGAAAGACUAUACGUAAGGUUACGAAACUUUCCAAACUAAUCUAAACACCCCCCUGAUUUUUAGGGGGUGGGCCCCUCACUCCCCUAAACACCAAUCCUAUUGUUCCACGUUGGCUGAUACGUAAACUUAAGUAGCUCCUUUACGUAAGUGUAGCAUUGCUCCUGCGCGCAGAUAUCUGGCCGCAGGCUGCGUCGAGAUGAUGUGCGCAUUAAUAAUCGGAGAAUGACAAAGGGAAGCAUACAUCGUCAUAUACAAAGGAAUACUGUGGCCGCGCUGCCUAUGUAGGGCUCGUUCCGUGCGGUAUGUGUAUGACUUAAGCUCCAGGCAUGCAAUACCGUACUGUUUUUACCACGUGGGCCCAAUUUGGUUUUCUAGAUGUGUGUGAUGUGUUGGAUCUAAACGCCAACGCUGAGUUUUCCUCUCGUCCCUGGCGGCUGGAACCCUAGCCGCCGCCAGGGGAGGCCGGUCUUCCAACGCCGCUCUCCGGCGGCUCCCCUCCGCCGGCGACCUCGGUCGUCGGUGGUGAGGGUGGUCGCCGGAUCCACGCGUGUGGAUCGUUUUUACUCUCUCGUAGUCUAGGUUUUUAGGUUGUUCAUCGUCUUUGCUUCGGCGGUGACGAUGACAACGCUGAAUAAAGAUUUUUCGGAUUCUUUCCUAACGAGGCCAUCGGUCCUAUUGUUGGGGAUGGAUUUGGAAACCAGUCUGUUCAAGCAAGGAUGGUGUGGCGGCGGCGGCAUCCUCGUGGUGGACCUGUGUCCUCAAGCUCCGCCGUUACGACGGCGUUUGCUCCAGCGUCGGCGCGAAGCUUGGGAGGUAGUCCAGGAGCAGAUGCAGAUUGUGGUCUACAUCGACGACAUCUGGAAGACGGAGCAUGUGCUGGGCUCGUGGUUCGUGGAUGGCAGAUAUGGUUUCCUCCUUCGGCGUUUUAGUCGUGGUGGGAUGCUAGAUCUGGAGUUGGAUGGCGUGUCCGGGGUGUUGCUCUGGUCUGAUUCGUUCAACGGUAAGGGCUUCACUUUUGGUGAGCCACCUUGGAGGUCCGCAAAGCUGCAUAUCAGCGAUGGAGCCGCGUCGAGCUCGGGUGAGAAGGUGAUUCGUCAUUCUUUUCUUCGGUGGCUACUGUGGUGGUGACGGAGGCAGGUGACGUGCGUUGGUGUCAAGCUCAAAGAUGUUCUGCUAUCUUUUCAGUUUUGUCAUGUCGGUCUUUACGUGACUUGUACUUUGUUCUUUAUGAUAUGAAUGAGACACGUAUUAUCAUGCAAAAAAAAAGAUAUGUGUGAUGUGCCGGACCUGCUUGAUGAUCCCGUCUGGAUUGCUGGUUCUCCGUGCUGCAUUCUCUUUCUGUUCAUGAUGACCGGAGUUGAUUCAAAGCCUGUGUCUUGCUGGUUGCCCCGUUCUUGAUGAACUUCUCCGCCCAUCGAUUUGAUUCAAAGCCUGUCCGUCGACAUGUGCCGUGGGGUUAGGCAAAGUGCGGGGAGGUAGUGAGAGCGUGGCAAGAGAUGUCAUCGAGAUCUUACCUUGCUGUGCGCCAGAGCCUGCCUGCGGCGUCGCCGGGAGAGAUCAGGAAACCUUCGAUGUGGUUUGCAAUGGAGCUUGUUUCAUCUACAGCGUUGUGGGGGGUGUACUGCAUUAAAUAUGUGCGCAGCUAGACGGGUGGGGUGGUUGGCUUUAACACAUCCGCGUGUGAAAGCUCCAGUGCAUGGCCACUUGCAUGGACGCCAGUGCACGGCUAGCUCUGCACGCGUCGGUGAUUGAAGCAUGCGUUAGAGCAUACUGUCAGCCUGGAGCUUGUCCUUGUUUGAGUCAGAGUGUGUCUCUAAAUACGCAUAUAUGUUGCGGCAUGAAGUCCAGUGCCAACAUACAAUCUGAGUAGCACGUUAACUUGUGUGAAUCGUGAAGGUCCUCUCGCCGUAGAUGCCGCGAGUGCAGAUGCCGCUGCGUCAAGACCUGCGUUUCUCCUCCGUAGAUGGGCCAAGGCACACACGACUCGAUCCAUGUUGAUCUCCAGUGACCAGCGUAGAAGGGCCAAGGACUAUUGUAUUCGGUUGCGUAUUCGAAAGAAAAAGGUUUUUCGCUCAGAUCCCAAUUGGCACGAAGGAUCGAGAUAGCGAGCUUGCUGUCGCUGGAGCUCUCUGGGUUAUAAUAGCCAUACACAAAUACUUCCACCAUUUGCUCAUAGCCAUAGGUUCCUUUCAGAUACAAAAGAAUUUGACAGCGCACCCUCUCAUGCACCUAACAACCAUGCAUGCCAGAACCUAUUGCGUUCCAAUAAUGAUUAGAUAUACCAAAAAGCUUGUAUCAAUGACCCGCAAAAGAAACAAAAAACUUGUAUCAAUGUGACUGGUCGAUUUUCAAAACGGAACGGAAAUUUACCCUGCUGAAUUCUGCAGUCACAAUGCUGUUGCAGCUUGAUCGUUUUUUCCAGAAAACCACAAAUGCAAGCCUGGAAAACAAUGUUGGACCAAAUCUCCCACGUCAGUCUUGAAAGUUGAAACCUGCGUGAAGUCAGAUUGAAUUGAUAAGGAACUAAACGCUCAAUUGCAUAGUGGUCAGCAGUGAAGAAAUAAGUAAACAGACAGUAACAACUGUUUUAGUCUUUCAAUUCAGAAAGUAUACAACCCCCAAUUUCAUGCAAGGAAACUAAGAAAGUACAGAGAUCCAAUGCCAAUAAAAUACUAAUGCACAGACUGGUUGAUUGGGAUCCGAUCUUCAUUUCUGAUACUUUUAAGCAGAAUUUUUGGCCUUGACUUGGUUGUGUUGUGGAACUAAAAGUCAAAGUUGCCUACUGUUCCAGUCUUCUGAACUUACAAUGCUGGUGGCGACAUUGAUUCUAUGUUUGGUUGCGAGUGACAGAACUUCCCGAGUACAAAAAGCACGGGUGCAAUUUCCUUGACACAUUGGAAUCCACGGGGUAUAAUCCCAUCACCAUUUGGUGCCUCAGGUGUUAGUGCCCCUGACGAGCAGGACCCACUGGACAGCCACCACACCAACACAACAGCUGCCCAGCGGCCCACACAAGUCAAGCGGCCCAGCCAACGCACCCAUGGGCCGGAGUGGGUCAACUGAACCCGCCCGCACGGCUAGUUCUAGGAGGGGCGCACGAGGCCACAGACAUCCAGUGGAUCAAGGACGAACCGGUGGCUACCUACUUUCCCCUUCCACGAACCCUAGUUCUUCCUCUGUUCUUCUUCCCAUUCGAGAGUCACGCUCCUGUAAUCGAUCUUGUACUAGCUAGUACCUCAGAGAGAAACAAUAGAUCGAUCUUCCUACUCUGUAGCUAACAUCUGGUAUCAGAGACCAACCACCACCCAUCUCCGUUUCGCUCUGGCAAAUCUCAUCGAGACAAGAGGCUUGCGGCACGCGCGCGAAGCCAUGUAUCCGAGCGUCUCCGCCUUCUUCACCCGUUUUGAAACUAAGAUCGAGGCCGCCAUCGACGGCCUGACCAAGGCCUAGCUAUCUACGCCGACGAAGAUUGACGAUCUGCUCUCCUGGCGUCCCGAUCUCGAGCGCCAAGUCGCGGAUCUGGGCGACGCGGUUACCGCACUGCAACGUGCGCAAGCGCCUCCACUAGCCCGACCUGACGCGGAUCCGGUGCCGAAGGGUGCUGACGCGGUGAUUCAUCCCCAACGGCCCGAUGGCCACGGUGAAUUCGAGAUCAAACGGGGGCCAUCGACGGCGUCCCUUACGCCGCCGCCGCCGCUCCCGGCUAAUGGUACGACCAUGAUUCCCAUCUCUCCAGUUUUGCUGUCCCCAUUCUGGCAUGCCAGCCAGAUGCUCAUUGGUCUUGGCCAAGCGCACCCCUCCAUUUCCUUCCCACAGUUCUCGGGCGAGAAUCCUAACCUAUGGAAAACCCUGUGAGCAGUAUUUUUCCAUGUUUGGAAUUGUGCCUUCAUUUUGGGUUCCUAUGGCAUCUCUGAAUUUCUCCGGGCCAACAGCAAUAUGGCUGCAGUCCAUCCAACGCCGUCUAGGUUAGUUCGAUUGGGACUCAUUCACAGUGUUGCUCUGCACGUGAUUCGGCCGUGAUCGUCAUCAAACUCUCAUUUGCCAGUUCUAUGUUGUUCGCCAAACCACCACUAUGGCAGAUUAUAUUGAGAGAUUCGAGUCUAUCAUCAAUCAUUUGAAUUCAUACUCUGAAACAAUUCAUCCUUACUACUUUCUCACACAUUUUGUCGAGGGCCUAAGAACGGUCAUCAGGGCGGUCGUUAUGGUGCAACGACCCCUUGAUCUGGACACGGUGUGUGCGCUCACGCAACUCUAGGAGGAGGUAGCGGAUGGAGCUCGGGGACACCCACCACGACCACCCGACGCGCCUCCAAGGUGUUGGGGAACGUAGUAAUUUCAAAAAAAUUCCUACACACACGCAAGAUCAUGGUGAUGAAUAGUAAUGAGAGGGGAGAGUGUUGUCCACGUACCCUCGUAAAUCGUAAGCGGAAGCGUUAUGACAACGCGGUUGAUGUAGUCGUACGUCUUCACGGUCGACCGAUCCAAGUACUGAACGUACGACACCUCCACGAUCUGCACAUGUUCAGCUUGGUGACGUCCCACGAACGCACGAUCCAGUAGAGCUUUGAGGGAGAGUUCCAUCAGCACGACGGUGUGAUGACGGUGUUGAUGAAGUUACCGAUGCAGGGCUUCGCCUAAGCAAUGCUACGAUAUGACCGAGGUGGAUUAUGGUGGAGGGGGGCACCGCACACGGCUAAAGAUCAAUGAUCAACUUGUGUCUCUUGGGUUGCCCCCUGCCCCCGUAUAUAAAGGAGCUAGGGGGAAGGCGGCUGGCCAGGAGGAGGGCGCGCUAAGGGGGGAGUCCUACUCCCACCGGGAGUAGGACUCCUCCUUUCCUAUAGUAGGAGUAGGAGAAGGGGGGAGGAGGAGAGAGGGGGGAAGGAAAGGGGGCGCCGCCCCCCCCCCCUCCUUGUCCAAUUCGGACUAGAGGGGGAGGGGGCGCGUGGCCCUGCCUUGGCCGCCCCUCCUCUUCUCCACAAAGGCCCAUAAGGCCCACUAUACUCCCCGGGGGGUUCCGGUAACCCCCCGGUACUCUGGUAUAUGCCCAAACUUGCCCAGAACACUUCCGAAGUCCAAACAUAGUCAUCCAAUAUAUCGAGUUUUAUGUCUCGACCAUUUUGAGACUCCUCGUCAUGUCCGUGAUCAUAUCCGGGACUCCGAACUACCUUCAGUACAUCAAAACACAUAAACUCAUAAUACCGAUCGUCACCGAAUGUUAAGCGUGCGGACCCUACGGGUUCGAGAACUAUGUAGACAUGACCGAGACACGUCUCCGGUGAAUAACCAAUAGCGGAACCUGAAUGCUCAUAUUGGCUCCUACAUAUUCUACGAAGAUCUUUAUCGGUCAAACCGCAUAACAACAUACGUUGUUCCCUUUGUCAUCGGUAUGUUACUUGCCCGAGAUUCGACCAUCGGUAUCUCAAUACCUAGCUCAAUCUCGUUACCGGCAAGUCUCUUUACUUGUUCCGUAAUACAUCAUCCCGCAACUAAAUCAUUAGUCCCAUUGCAUGCAAGGGUUAUAGUGAUGUGCAUUACUGAGAGGACCCAGAGAUACCUCUCCGACAAUCGGAGUGACAAAUCCUAAUCUUGAUCUAUGCCAACUCAACAAGUACCAUCGGAGACACCUGUAGAGCACCUUUAUAAUCACCCAGUUACGUUGUGACGUUUGGUAGCUGAUACGUCUCCGUCGUAUAUAUAAUUUUUGAUUGUUCCAUGCCAAUAUUAUUCAACUUUCAUAUACUUUUGGCAAGUUUUUAUAUUAUUUUUGGGACUAACAUAUUGAUCCAGUGCCCAGUGCCAGUUCCUGCUUAUUCCAUGUUUUAUGUUUCGGAGAAACCCCAUAUCAAACGGAGUCCAAACGGGAUAAAAACGGACGGAGACUUAUUUUGGAAUAUUUGUUCUCUUUGGGAAGUAAAAUCAAUGCGAGACCGUGCCCGAGGUGGCAACGAGAUAGGGGCCCAUGCCCACUCCAAGUGGGCACGCCUCCCACCCUCUUGGCCCCCUCGUAAGGUGGUUGAUGCCCUUCUUUGGCCGCCAGAAAGCUAAUUUUUGGAAAAAGAUCUUGGCGAAGGUUUCAAUCCGAUCGGAGUUACGGAUCUCCGGAUAUAAAAGAAACGGUGCCAGGGCAGAAUCCCGGAACGCAGAAACAGAGAGAGACAGAGAGACAGAUCCAUUCUCGGAGGGGAUCUCACCCCUCCCAUGCCAUGGGAGCCAAGGACCAGAGGGGAAACCCUUCUCCCAUCUAGGGAGGAGGUCAAGGAACAAGAAGAAUAAGAAGGGGGGCUCUCUCCCCCUUGCUUCCGGUGGCGCCGGAGCGCUGUCGGGGGCCAUCAUGAUCACUGCGAUCUUCACCAACACCUCCAUCAUCUUCAUCAACAUCUCCAUCACCUUCCCCCUUCUAUAUUCAGCGGUCCACUCUCCCGCAACCCGCUGUACCCUCUACUUGAACAUGGUUCUUGUGACGCCCGGGUAGUUACGCUACAGUAACCCUCCGCCAAUGAUACCACGUCACCACGAUUAAAGUUGAUAGUCUUGCGAUUGUUCAAAUCCCGUUCAAAAUUCAAAAUUGAAAUAAAGUCAAACAAUAAAAGCUUUCAAAAGUUGAAACAAAAAUGUUCGGUGGGUGCCGAAUAUUACAAGGGUAAUUAUAGUAAAGAAAACAUAUUUUUAGAAAGUGCCUGAAUAUUUUAAAAGAAUUAAAACAGAAAAGAUAAAUCAGGAAAAGCAGAUAAAAACAAAAAUUAACACUAACAACAACAAAAUAAAAAGGGAACCUCCCCUCCCACGGCCCACCGACCCACCUGGACCAGGCCGGCCCACCUGGCCCAUCCGGCCUCACCCCACUCCCCUUAACCCCCGAUCCACACCAAACCCUAGCCCUAUCCCCUCGUCCUCCCACUUCCCCCCGAUCUGGAUCAGGGAUCCACCCAUCGCUCGCCCUGCGCGACCCCAGCGCGCCCCGCUCCGCCGCCCGUUGCCGCCCCGCCCCGCCUCCGUCCUCCCCCGCGACGCCACCUCACCGGUGCAGCCCGGCCCCGAACACCUCGUCCUCGCCGAACGCCUCGUCCUAGCCGCCCCCUCCCGGCCUUCUUCCUCACCCUCCGGCAUCGCGCCCGUCUUCCCCGAGCCCCGGCACGACCUCGACGCCGCUGGACCCCGCCAUCGUCGGAGCUGCCUCGCGGAGCGGCCCUGCCGUCCUCCUCUUCGACUCCUCCUCGCCGGACCUCCUCCUCUACGUCACCGUCAUCCCCGUCCUCCUCCCCAAAGGCUCCACCGAGCCUCACUGACCCUCUUCUCUGCAACGCCGGUGAGGCCACGGCCUCCCUCUCCUCUUCUCCCCUCUCUGUUGCACGUCACCGUGCCCGCACCCCGUUCGCCCCCGUCGACCCAGCGCGCGCCCACGCGCUCCCGUGCGCCCCCGCGCGNNNNNNNNNNNNNNNNNNNNNNNNNNNNNNNNNNNNNNNNNNNNNNNNNNNNNNNNNNNNNNNNNNNNNNNNNNNNNNNNNNNNNNNNNNNNNNNNNNNNNNNNNNNNNNNNNNNNNNNNNNNNNNNNNNNNNNNNNNNNNNNNNNNNNNNNNNNNNNNNNNNNNNNNNNNNNNNNNNNNNNNNNNNNNNNNNNNNNNNNNNNNNNNNNNNNNNNNNNNNNNNNNNNNNNNNNNNNNNNNNNNNNNNNNNNNNNNNNNNNNNNNNNNNNNNNNNNNNNNNNNNNNNNNNNNNNNNNNNNNNNNNNNNNNNNNNNNNNNNNNNNNNNNNNNNNNNNNNNNNNNNNNNNNNNNNNNNNNNNNNNNNNNNNNNNNNNNNNNNNNNNNNNNNNNNNNNNNNNNNNNNNNNNNNNNNNNNNNNNNNNNNNNNNNNNNNNNNNNNNNNNNNNNNNNNNNNNNNNNNNNNNNNNNNNNNNNNNNNNNNNNNNNNNNNNNNNNNNNNNNNNNNNNNNNNNNNNNNNNNNNNNNNNNNNNNNNNNNNNNNNNNNNNNNNNNNNNNNNNNNNNNNNNNNNNNNNNNNNNNNNNNNNNNNNNNNNNNNNNNNNNNNNNNNNNNNNNNNNNNNNNNNNNNNNNNNNNNNNNNNNNNNNNNNNNNNNNNNNNNNNNNNNNNNNNNNNNNNNNNNNNNNNNNNNNNNNNNNNNNNNNNNNNNNNNNNNNNNNNNNNNNNNNNNNNNNNNNNNNNNNNNNNNNNNNNNNNNNNNNNNNNNNNNNNNNNNNNNNNNNNNNNNNNNNNNNNNNNNNNNNNNNNNNNNNNNNNNNNNNNNNNNNNNNNNNNNNNNNNNNNNNNNNNAAAUAAAUAAAAUAAAUAAAUAGAUAAUAAUUUAAUUAAUUAACUAAUGAAUUAAGGAAUUAAUUAAGUUAAUUAAUCAUAAUUACAUUAACCUAACUAACUAAUUAGUUUAAUUAAAUAGUAGUUAGAUUAGUUAAACACUAAUUAGACUAAACAGUCAAUGACUAGUGGGACCCACACGUCAGUUGACCAGUCAACACCUCUGUUGACUGCUGACGUCAUGCUGACGUCAUGAUGACGUCAGCAAAUACUGUUUUGGAUAAUGUUGAAUUUAAAUAAAUAAUUAAAAUCAGAAAAUGAUUAAAUCUUUAGAAAAUCAUAUCUUUUAAUCCGUAACUCGGAUGAAAAUACUUUCUACAUGAAAGUUGAUCAGAACAACGAGACGAAUCCGGAUACGCAGCCCGUUCGUCUGCCACACAUCCCUAGCAUAGCAAACACGCAACUUUCCCCCUCCGGUUCAUCUGUCCGAAAACGCGAAACUCCGAGAAUACUUUCCCGGAUGUUUCCCCCCUUCGUCGGUAUCACCUACUACCACGUUAGGGCACACCGAACACCGCGUAUUGUCUUGUUACACUUUGUGAUGCCUUGAUUGCUCUGUUAUUUAUUAUGUUCCCUCUCCGUUACUUCUUUCCGAUAGACCCCAAGACUGCCGGCGACCCCCAGUUUGACUACGGUGUUGACGACCCCUCUCUCUUGCCAGAGCAACCAGGCAAGCCCCCCCCUUGAUCACCAGAUAUCACCUAUUCUACUCUAUACUGCUUGCAUUAGAGUAGUGCAGCAUGUUACUGCUUUCUGUUAUUCCUAUCCUGUUGCAUAGCCUGUCAUUGUUGCUAUAGUCGUUGAUACCCUACCCGCAAUCCUAAAUGCUUAGUAUAGGAUGCUUGUUUAUCAUCAUUGGCCCUACAUUCUUGUCAGUCUGCCUUGCUAUACUAUUGGGCCGUGAUCACUCGGGAGGUGAUCACGGGUAUAUACUAUACAUACAUACAUACUAUACAGACGGUGACUAAAGUUGGGUCAGCUCGAUGAGUACCCGCAAGUGAUUCUGAUGAGGGGGCUGAAGGGACAGGUGGCUCCAUCCCGGUAGAGGUGGGCCUGGGUUCCCGACGGCCCCCGACUGUUACUUUGAGGCGGAGCGGCAGGGCAGGUUGAGACCGCCUAGGAGAGAGGUGGGCCUGGCCCUGUUCGGCGUUCGCGGAUACUUAACACGCUUAACGAGAUCUUGGUAUUUGAUCUGAGUUGGCUACGAGCCUAUACGCACUAACCAUCUACGUGGGAGUAGUUAUGGGUAUCCCGACGUCGUGAUAUCAGCCGAAGCACUUCAGACGUCAGCGACGGAGCGGCGCGCGCCGGAUUGGAACGUAAGCCUGCUCUUGUAUUAAGGGGGCUAGUUCUGCUUCCGGCCGCCCACGCAACGUGCAGGUGUGCUAUGGGCGAUGGGCCCAGACCCCUGUGCGCUUAGGUUUAGACCGGCGUGCUGGCCUCUCUGUUUUGCCUAGGUGGGGCUGCGACGUGUUGAUCUUCCGCGGCCGGGCAUGACCCAGGAAAGUGUGUCCGGCCAAAUGGGAUCAAGCGUGUUGGGGAAUGUGGUGCACCCCUGCAGGGAAGUUAAUCUAUUCGAAUAGCCGUGAUCUUCGGUAACAGGACGACUUGGAGUUGUACCUUGACCUUAUGACAACUAGAACCGGAUACUUAAUAAAACACACCCUUCCAAGUGCCAGAUCCAACCCGGUGAUCGCUUUUCUACAGGGCGACGAGGAGAGGAUCGCCGGGUAGGAUUAUGCUACUGCGAUGCUACUGGAGAUGCUACUUGGAGAUGCUACUUGGAGAUGCUACUUGCGGGACUUCAAUCUACUCUCUUCUACAUGCUGCAAGACGGAGGCUGCCAGAAGCGUAGUCUUCGACAGGAUUAGCUAUCCCCCUCUUAUUCUGGCAUUCUGCAGUUCAGUCCACCGAUAUGGCCCUUUACACAUAUACCCAUGCAUAUGUAGUGUAGCUCCUUGCUUGCGAGUACUUUGGAUGAGUACUCACGGUUGCUUUUCUCCCUCUUUACCCCUUUCCCUUCUACCUGGUUGUCGCAACGAGAUGCUGGAGUCCAGGAGCCAGACGCCACCAUCGACGACGACCCCUACUACACUGGAGGUGCCUACUACUACGUGCUGCCCGCUGAUGACGACCUGGAGUAGUUUAGGAGGAUCCCAGGCAGGAGGCCUGCGCCUCUUUCGAUCUGUAUCCGAGUUUGUGCUAGCCUUCUUAAGGCAAACUUGUUUAACUUAUGUCUGUACUCAGAUAUUGUUGCUUCCGCUGACUCGUCUAUGAUCGAGCACUUGUAUUCGAGCCCUCGAGGCCCCUGGCUUGUAUUAUGAUGCUUGUAUGACUUAUUUAUGUUUUAGAGUUGUGUUGUGAUAUCUUCCCUUGAGUCCCUGAUCUUGAUCGUACACGUUUGCGUGCAUGAUUAGUGUACGAUUGAAUCGGGGGCGUCACAAGUUGGUAUCAUAGCCGACUUCCUGUAGGAAUCCCCCUUUCCAACUCCUUGGCCGAAGUUGAGUCUAGUCGAUGAAAAUUGUUUUACUAACUUGGCUGUGCGGCCCAUGGGCCCACGUCGCCAAUUGGGUGGUAUUAGGAUCUUUUACUCCUCGACCUUUACUCUGGGACUCUGAUCUCUCUACUAUUCGGGUUAAAUGAAUUUGCUAACUCUAAGAUUAGGAUCUCGUGAUCGCAUCCACCCGGAGAGCCCCUUACUGCAGAGGAUCGCCUGCUACAUCAGAAGAUUCCGAAGAUACUCUCUGAUGUUCUCUCGAGACUUUGUGCCCAUCACUUUUGCUAUUCCUGACCACCGAUAAAUCCGUAUGGAUAACUACUUACACUUGCCAUUCAUAUGAUCAUCCCCCAUUGAUCUUGUUAUUACAAGAUACCCCGAAGUUUUCUCUAUUGUUCCGAGAAUACUUUGUGCCUACUGCCUAGCAGUUCUUUGCCACAUGAAUACCCCCUUCAAAUAAAUUCUUGCACUUAUCGAGUAUCCGCUCAUCCCCCAGUUGUUCAUGUGUUACACAAAAGUCUUCGAAAUACCACCCGAUAUUCCAAAAAUCCUCAGCAACCUAUUGCUCUGGAAUUUCUUGUUUGCUUUCAUUAUGAUUAAUCCCGUAAGUAUAGAAAUCUUAUAGGCAUUCCUUGUCAUUAUCAUUUUGAGUCUGUUGACUCAAUAUGUUGCGAAUACACGCAAUCAUCAUUGAUCCUUAUAAAUUACCUUUCCGGCUGAGCUUCCAUUCUUUUAACUGGAAUUGGUUCUCGACCAAUGCAAUUGUCGUUGAUUGUACCCUAAGGCUAUUGAACUUAUCCAUCCCUAAUCAGAGCAUUGCUUCUGAUCCCUUGAAUUGGAAAUCAUAAUUCCUUUGCAUUUGACAAUUGAGUUAGUCAGUUGUUUCUAUAAUUUGAUCUCCUUGCACUCUUCUUCCUCUAGUUGAGUACCGAUGCUCACGUCAGAUCCCUUGUGGACCAUCAGGCCCAUUGUUGGAUUUUAUCCGUCAGCAUCCUUCAUAUUCAAUAACCUUGUGAGCCUUCCAUUGGAUACAUAAUGCCCUUGGUAAUUGUAUCAUCUACUUUCUCAACCUUGCUCUACUUUCGAGCUUGUGUUAUUUACUCUUGAAACUUGUGGUAUACGUUUCUAAGAAGCCCCUGUGGGUUGAACAUAUGCCUUCUCUAAACCGUGUGAACCUGAAAGUUUUCACGAGUCAUACUCUUCUGGUGCUUCACCAGAUAAAAUUUCAACACUGCAACUUCAUCGAACGUGAGAAGUGAAUGAAAGGUUAUGCAUCGGAGAAGUGGGAGUCAACCUUGAACUUGUGUUCAUGCCCAUGGACACGAUGUAGAUCUUAUCAUUAAAGCUUCUCUUAAAUUAAUUAUUCCUUUGGUAUAAGUUCAUCUUAUAUCUGGGAUCUGGCCUUUUGCAAUCGUGGUUCCGACCAUGUUCUCCUUUAAAUUACGUUUCUCGUGCAGGUUUAAGCACUUGUCUUCUGUAGAGCAAUACCCCAGUCCAACCUUUACUUUGAUCUUGUGUUGAGUAUUACCCCCCUGGUAUCUCGAGAUUAUCAUGGUACUGCUUAAAUUCUUAUGAGUUCUUCAUCAAGUGCUACCUUACCACUGAUUCCAAUUUUUCACGGGCUCUGAGUUAUUAAACACUCAAAGACACCGAUAACUGAACCGAGUCCGCUCUACAGUUCAACAACUCUUCAGUAAGCUUUUAUAAGUAUGAGUUUGUACCCGAAUACGCCAUUCCUAGCCUGUUUGGCUACAUCAUUGUCGUGAUGAUUCUAACUGUGCUACCUGGUCCUUAUUCUCGGAGCACCAAUUUUCGACGAUGAACUAACCUUAUGUCGAUCCUCAUCGUCAUAUCAUUUCGCCUUGAACAACAAGCUUGGUUUCGAGUUUGUGUCGUACCCUUGGUUCCAAUAACCUUUCACUUCAUCAUUACUUGACUUGAUGUCGUUACCUAUCGAUUACAUCUUCAUGAACUCUCGCGACAAAGGUGUCGUGAUCAUCAACAUUCUGAGCUCAUCCAGGAUAUCAAUUGAAUUUAUGAUGAGAAAUAACAUCCUUGCCCUCGAUGAAUUGUAUUAUCGUCGACCACUUUAUUGCCUUCCCACCAACACAAGCUUGUUCACGUUUGGUGUUAUACCUUGAGUUCCUUGCUAUCCAGCAAUUGUUCUUCUUUAGCUUGGAGUAUUACCAUCCUUUAUGUCAAGAAUGUUCUGAGAUUUGUUCCACCUCUUGAGAAUUCUUGGCAUAGAAAUACUUCUCACCAUCACCAUUCUUUAUUGGUCCCCGUGUUAAUUCCAACAAGUGAACGGUGUUGUUUGCAUUCUUUCCUUCUAGCAACCCUAUUUUUUUGAAGUUAAUGGUCGAAAGUUCAUUCUUAGGCUAUUGACUAUUGAAUCACCAUUCUGACAUUGGUCGUGCAACCCAACCCAUAUUUCGGGCGCACCUUUCAACCAAUGUUUAAUUGUGUAUGUUUUCCUCGAGCAUACUUCCUUAUAUCAUUUGAUCUGGCCAAUGUUAUCUCCUUGUUCACUUAAUUGUGGAAAUCCAUCUUUUGGGAAUCUCGGUGAAUUGCCGUUGAGUUCACCAGACACCUCCUUGUCCUCUCCUUGGGUUAAUGAUGGACUCUUGAUAACGGAAAACACUUCAUAGUUCAUUUCCCCGAGAAUCUUACAUUGUCAUCUCGUCAAUUUGCGUUGCACCUUUUCUUCUCAGGUAUCCUAAGUCUGAGGUAUCCUGACACCAAUCGGAUCUGAAUCUCGGUCAGAUAUGAGGGUUGGGACACCUUUCCAAGAGUUAUGAUGUUGAUCCUUUGAUGACCCGCUAACAUGAUGUCAUGCCUAGCACCCCCCCCCCCGGCUGGAGGACUUAUCAUUAUAGAUUCCUUUUCAGCAAGGUUAUCCAUUCAUCCAUGAGGAAAUUGUAAGACUUAUUCUGUAAGUUACUCCUGACGGAUCCUUUGUGUAUCCAAAGUCCGACCUUUGCUUGAAGACCAUGUCAAUGCUAUCUCGAAGUAUGUCUGUGGUACUCCGAUCUUCAAUAAGAACAUUUGAAGCACGAUGCUAAAUUUUAUUUAUCAUUUAUCCUAACAUCGUUGUAUGGGUAAUGUCAUGAUAUUUCUCUCCCCUUUCCUGAAGGGUUUUCUACGUUAUAUCCUAUCAUGGAUAUCAUGCUCUGCUUGUCCUUGGGAAGGAUUUACCCCUGAAAGAUGUGUUUAAACACAUUUUCCUUUCCAUUGUUCUGUUUAAACAUAAUAAUCACUUUUCCUUUCCCUUGAUUUGUUUAAACCUUCUUGUGAUCUAUAUAAUAUAAGCAGUAAUAUCCCUGCUCAUGUAAACACCUCGGUGUACCAUCUUGUCUGGUGUAACCCUGUUACUAUUGUUGAUGACAUUCCGGUAGCCACCGAUGGACGAGAACUUUGCCUAUUGGUUCGCCUCGUUCAACGAGCAGGAAAUGGUUCUCUUUGUCCCUCGCCCUUGGUAUCGAUGUUGUUGCCGACAUAUCUGACAGGCUACCCUUUGACAUGCCUUACUAUCAUGACCGUGCAAAAUGUCGGCCCCCUUCCUACUUUCAACCACAUGAUGGGCCCAUAACCCACAGUUCCACAGGAUCGAAACCUGACUCUCCUGCACCCCCUCUUCCCAAGGUUGUUCCUCGCGUGCGGCCUCAUAUGUAAUUCACGGGCCACCGUCCCAAGUGAUCUAUUUUGGUAGCAGACGCAAUACUCAAUCUCAUUGCUCUGGACCCCUUUCGCAUGUUAUUUCAGACAUCGAACAAUGGCCUAUCCGUUUGAAACUUCUCAUGGUACCUUCUUACAUUACUCUCGAUAUUUUCUUAAGUUCAAUUCGAGAGUUACUUCCUACCCCAUUCCCUGAGUUAUGUACCAGAUAGUCAACCUGGUAAGGCCCGCCCUUCCCGAGUCUUCCCCCAUAACCUUUUCGUAAGUAUGAUGAAGAUCCUGAAGACAGGAUGACGACUUCAUCAUUUUGACCUGAAGCAGAAGUAUGAAGGCAUCAAUAUAUUGGAUUGACCUCUUCGAGAAGAGCAACCAACACCGAGGAGGUCUGUUAGAAUUUCGUAACCAAUCUCUCCACCUUAUUCCCCUCCUAAAUCUCGGGACGAGAUUUCUUGUAGUGGAGGAGAAUUGUGACGCCCGGGUAGUUACGCUACAGUAACCCUCCGCCAAUGAUACCACGUCACCACGAUUAAAGUUGAUAGUCUUGCGAUUGUUCAAAUCCCGUUCAAAAUUCAAAAUUGAAAUAAAGUCAAACAAUAAAAGCUUUCAAAAGUUGAAACAAAAUUGUUCGGUGGGUGCCGAAUAUUACAAGGGUAAUUAUAGUAAAGAAAACAUAUUUUUAGAAAGUGCCUGAAUAUUUUAAAAGAAUUAAAACAGAAAAGAUAAAUCAGGAAAAGAAGAUAAAAACAAAAAUUAACACUAACAACAACAAAAUAAAAAGGGAACCUCCCCUCCCACGGCCCACCGACCCACCUGGACCAGGCCGGCCCACCUGGCCCAUCCGGCCUCACCCCACUCCCCUUAACCCCCGAUCCACACCAAACCCUAGCCCUAUCCCCUCGUCCUCCCACUUCCCCCCGAUCUGGAUCAGGGAUCCACCCAUCGCUCGCCCUGCGCGACCCCAGCGCGCCCCGCUCCGCCGCCCGUUGCCGCCCCGCCCCGCCUCCGUCCUCCCCCGCGACGCCACCUCACCGGUGCCGCCCGGCCCAGAACACCUCGUCCUCGCCGAACGCCUCGUCCUCGCCGCCCCCUCCCGGCCUUCUUCCUCACCCUCCGGCAUCGUGCCCGUCUUCCCCGAGCCCCGGCACGACCUCGACGCCGCUGGACCCCGCCAUCGUCGGAGCUGCCUCGCGGAGCGGCCCUGCCGUCCUCCUCUUCGACUCCUCCUCGCCGGACCUCCUCCUCUACGUCGCCGUCAUCCCCGUCCUCCUCCCCAAAGGCUCCACCGAGCCUCACCGACCCUCUUCUCUGCAACGCCGGUGAGGCCACGGCCUCCCUCUCCUCUUCUCCCCUCUCUGUUGCACGUCACCGUGCCCGCACCCCGUUCGCCCCCGCUCGACCCAGCGCGCGCCCACGCGCUCCCAUGCGCCCCCGCGCGCGCGACCCACGCCAUCCAGCCGUAGCCACGACGCGCGUCGCCCCUGCUGCCGACUCCCACCGCCGUCUCUGCCCUACGGCUCCUGGCCGCGUCCGCUCGGGGCGCCGUCGUCGUCCGACGCCUCAUCCCACUCCCGCUACGUCAGUCGUCCACUGCGGCGAUCCUCUCAGCUAACCGUGCCGCCCUGCUCCGGUCGUCGGAGCCAGGCCGCACGCCCGCUGCCCCGCGGCGCCUCGUCGGGCUGGCGCUUGUCGCCCGACCCACCCGGCGCCCGUAACCGUGCGCCCGCUAAGGCACUUAGGCCAAUGACAUGUGGGGUCCCACACCCCACGCCCUAGAAUGUUUUUAAAAAAACAUAAGAAAAAUAAUAUAUAAAAUAAAUAAAAUAAAUAAAUAGAUAAUAAUUAAUUAAUUAAGGAAUUAAUUAAGUUAAUUAAUCAUAAUUACAUUAACCUAACUAACUAAUUAGUUUAAUUAAACAGUAGUUAGAUUAGUUAAACACUAAUUAGACUAAACAGUCAAUGACUAGUGGGACCCACACGUCAGUUGACCAGUCAACACCUCUGUUGACUGCUGACGUCAUGCUGACGUCAUGAUGACGUCAGCAAAUACUGUUUUGGAUAAUGUUGAAUUUAAAUAAAUAAUUAAAAUCAGAAAAUGAUUAAAUCUUUAGAAAAUCAUAUCUUUUAAUCCGUAACUCAGAUGAAAAUACUUUCUACAUGAAAGUUGAUCAGAACAAUGAGACGAAUCCGGAUACGCAGCUCGUUCGUCCGCCACACAUCCCUAGCAUAGCAAACACGCAACUUUCCCCCUCCGGUUCAUCUGUCCGAAAAUGCGAAACUCCGAGAAUACUUUCCCGAAUGUUUCCCCCCUUCGUCGGUAUCACCUACUACCGCGUUAGGGCACACCGAACACCGCGUAUUGUCUUGUUACACUUUGUGAUGCCUUGAUUGCUCUGUUAUUUAUUGUGUUCCCUCUCUGUUACUUCUUUCCGAUAGACCCCAAGACUGCCGGCGACCCCCAGUUCGACUACGGUGUUGACGACCCCUCUCUCUUGCCAGAGCAACCAGGCAAGCCCCCCCCCUUGAUCACCAGAUAUCGCCUAUUCUACUCUAUACUGCUUGCAUUAGAGUAGUGCAGCAUGUUACUGCUUUCUGUUAUUCCUAUCCUGUUGCAUAGCCUGUCAUUGUUGCUACAGUCGUUGAUACCCUACCCGCAAUCCUAAAUGCUUAGUAUAGGAUGCUAGUUUAUCAUCAUUGGCCCUACAUUCUUGUCAGUCUGCCUUGCUAUACUAUUGGGCCGUGAUCACUCGGGAGGUGAUCACGGGUAUAUACUAUACAUACAUACAUACUAUACAGACGGUGACUAAAGUCGGGUCAGCUCGAUGAGUACCCGCAAGUGAUUUUGAUGAGGGGGCUGAAGGGACAGGUGGCUCCAUCCCGGUAGAGGUGGGCCUGGGUUCCCGACGGCCCCCGACUGUUACUUUGAGGCGGAGCGGCAGGGCAGGUUGAGACCGCCUAGGAGAGAGGUGGGCCUGGCCCUGUUCGGCGUUCGCGGAUACUUAACACGCUUAACGAGAUCUUGGUAUUUGAUCUGAGUUGGCUACGAGCCUAUACGCACUAACCAUCUACGCGGGAGUAGUUAUGGGUAUCCCGACGUCGUGGUAUCAGCCGAAGCACUUCAGACGUCAGCGAUGGAGCGGCGCGCACCGGAUUGGAACGUAAGCCUGCUCUUGUAUUAAGGGGGCUAGUUCUGCUUCCGGCCGCCCACGCAACGUGCAGGUGUGCUAUGGGCGAUGGGCCCAGACCCCUGUGCGCUUAGGUUUAGACCGGCGUGCUGGCCUCUCUGUUUUGCCUAGGUGGGAAUGCGACGUGUUGAUCUUCCGUGGCCGGGCAUGACCCAGGAAAGUGUGUCCGGCCAAAUGGGAUCAAGCGUGUUGGGGAAUGUGGUGCACCCCUGCAGGGAAGUUAAUCUAUUCGAAUAGCCGUGAUCUUCGGUAACAGGACGACUUGGAGUUGUACCUUGAUCUUAUGACAACUAGAACCGGAUACUUAAUAAAACACACCCUUCCAAGUGCCAGAUACAACUCGGUGAUCGCUUUUCUACAAGGCGACGAGGAGAGGAUCAUCGGGUAGGAUUAUGCUACUGCGAUGCUACUGGAGAUGCUACUUGGAGAUGCUACUUGGAGAUGCUACUUGGGGGACUUCAAUCUACUCUCUUCUACAUGCUGCAAGACGGAGGCUGCUAGAAGCGUAGUCUUCGACAGGAUUAGCUAUCCCCCUCUUAUUCUGGCAUUCUGCAGUUCAGUCCACCGAUAUGGCCCUUUACACAUAUACCCAUGCAUAUGUAGUGUAGCUCCUUGCUUGCGAGUACUUUGGAUGAGUACUCACGGUUGCUUUUCUCCCUCUUUUCCCCUUUCCCUUCUACCUGGUUGUCGCAACCAGAUGCUGGAGUCCAGGAGCCAGACGCCACCAUCAACGACGACCCCUACUACACUGGAGGUGCCUACUACUACGUGCUGCCCGCUGAUGACGACCAGGAGUAGUUUAGGAGGAUCCCAGGCAGGAGGCUUGCGCCUCUUUCGAUCUGUAUCCCAGUUUGUGCUAGCCUUCUUAAGGCAAACUUGUUUAACUUAUGUCUGUACUCAGAUAUUGUUGCUUCCGCUGACUCGUCUAUGAUCGAGCACUUGUAUUCGAGCCCUCGAGGCCCCUGGCUUGUAUUAUGAUGCUUGUAUGACUUAUUUAUGUUUUAGAGUUGUGUUGUGAUAUCUUCCCGUGAGUCCCUGAUCUUGAUCGUACACGUUUGCGUGCAUGAUUAGUGUACGAUUGAAUCGGGGGCGUCACAGUUCUUUAUGCUUCAUAUUAUUAUCCAAUGAUGUGUUGCUAUCCUAUGAUGUCUGAGUAGAUUUUCAUUGUCCUACCGGUGAUUGAUGAAUUGCUAUGAUUGAUUUGAGUCGCAUGUUUUAUUAUUGGUGCUGUCCUAUGGUGCCCUCCAUGUCGCGCAAGUGUGAGGGAUCCCCGCUGUAGGGUUUGCAAUAUGUUCAUGAUUUGCUUAUGGUGGGUGGCGUGUGUGACAGAAGCACAGACCCGAGUAAGUAGGUUGUUUGCGUAUGGGAUAAAGGGGAUUUGAUGCUUUAAUGCUAUGGUUGGGUUUUACCUUAAUGAUCUUUAGUAGUUGCGGAUGCUUGCUAGAGUUCCAAUCACAAGUGCAUAUGAUCCAAGAAGAGGAAGUAUGUUAGCUUAUGCCUCUCCCUCAAAUAGAAUUGCAAUAGUGAUUACGGGUCUAGUAACAUAGUCAAUUGCUUAGGGACAAUUCCGCAACUCCUACUACCACUUUUCCACACUUGCUAUAUUUACUUUAUUGCUUCUUUAUCUAAACAGCCCCUACUUUUUAUUUACGUGUUCUUUAUUAUCUUGCAAACUUAUCCUAUCACACCUACAAAGUACUUCUAGUUUCAUACUUAUUCUAGGUAAAGCGAACACUAAGCGUGCGUAGAGUCAUAUCAGUGGCAGAUAGGACUUGAGAGAGUAUUUGUUCUACCUUUAGCUCCUCAUUGGGUUUGACACUCUUACUUAUCAAAAGAGGCUACAAUUAUCCCCUACACUUGUGGGUUAUCAAGACCUUUUUCUGGUGCCGUUGCCGGGGAGCCAUAGCGUGGGGUGAAUAUUCUCAUGUGUGCUUGUUUGCUUUAUCACUAAGUAAUUUAUAUUUGCUGUUCUAAGUUGUUCUUUAUCUUUAGUUAUGGAUAUGGAACACGAAAUACCAAAAAAAUUAGGUGUAGUUGCUACUCAUGGAGAUGGGAGUAACAUCCCAAAUUUUGAAUUUGGAAUUUUAUACAUUAGAUCAUCAUUGUAUAUCAUAUUUUAUUGCAUUUUGGCUUGAUCCUAGAAAUUCCAUGCAACUCAAGGACCCACGGAGAGAGCUGGGAAUUUCAUUAUUUCAUAUUUGAGUUUUUCUCAAAUUUUGAAAAGAGGAUCAUUUGAUUUUAAUUAUUUUAUCUUCGAAUAUUUCUAUUAUAAAAAUAAGAGAGAGGGAAUAAAAUGACUUUUCCAAAAAUAAAGAAAUAUUGGGGAUUUAAUAAUAAAAUCAAAUAAGAUUUUAUUUCGGAGUUUUAUCGCUAUUUUAUUUGAGUUAGGAAAAAUACGUGUUUUUCAAAAUUGCAUUUUAGGCCCAAAUAAAUGUUCAUCUUGUCCGCUUAUUUUUAGAGGACGGGGAAAAUUUAUUUCGGGAUUUUUGGAUUCAGUUUAGUAUUUAUUUUCUUUCUUUUUUGCAUGUCGUAAUUAUUUUAAAAAAAGGAACCGAGCUCAUCGGUUCAUCGGUUUUUUGGAUUCAGUUUAGUAUUUAUUUUCUUUCAUCGGUUCAUCGGUUUUUCUUGGUUUAGUUAUUUAGCGGACGUUCAUCAGAAUGUUCGUUUUAACGAAUGGUUUUCUUCAUUUAGCCGCAGACAGCGAACGUUCGUUUGUUAGCCUUUCGUCAGUUUUUCUUUUUCUCGGAUUUUUCGUGAUUAUUUCCUAUCGCGAUUUGUGAUCCGAUUUUCGUUCUAGUAUAACUUUUCGCUUGUUUAUCGGAAUCAGGCAAUUCAAGCGCCUUGAGUUUCGUCUCGAAACCCUCUUUCCGUUUAACCAACUCAAACAAGUUUUUACUACUGUAAAAUUUGACUUAGGUCCAGAUUAGUAAAUGAAGCUUGUUUCUUUCGCCGUUUGAGUUUCGUUGCUUCUUUUGAUUUGAUUCUUUUUGCAAACCGGAGUCCUUAUGUUGAACUUUCUGGUUAGAUCUGUUAUUUGAGUUUUACCCGUGCAUUAGAUGAGUACUUAUUGGAUGGUUGUUUGUUUGUGAUAGAGUACCCGGAGUGCGCCGCUUGGUACUACGAGUCUCUAGGUUUCACGGAUCAUCAGCAAGGCAAGUAACACUUUGAUCAUACCUCUUUACUACCCGGUUUUAUUGCAUUAUAUCAAUCCUCAAACAAUUGCAUGGUUGGGAUCUGAUUAGUAUGUGGGUUUGGGGAAGUAGAUGAGGUACUUCCUAUUACAUGUUUAUUAUCAAACCUUUGGGAGUUACUUCUACGUUUGCUUAUACUGCUAUGCUAUGCUAGUAGACAUGGAUUGGGUGAGUGUAUCCGUGACAGAUGUGAGAUUGCUAAUUAAUGGUUUACUUAAGGUGGCAACUUUAAUACACAUCUGGGUGGAUUGAGGCACCUGGGGAACCCAGCGUUGCGCGUAUUUUUUGGAAAUCCCGGGGCACCGUGUGAUUCUCCUAUGGACCGUGAUACGUUUCCAACGUAUCUGUAAUUUUUGAUUGCUCCAUGCUACUUUAUCUACUAUUUUAGGCAAUAUUGGGCUUUAUUAUCCACUUUUAUAUUAUUUUUGGGACUAACCUAUUAACCGGAGGCCCAACCCAAAUUUGCUGUUUUAUGCCUAUUUGAGUGUUUCGAGGAAAAGGAAUAUCAGACGGAGUCAAAACGGAACGAAAUCAACUAGAGAAGUUAAUUUUGGAAGGAAACCAACCAGAUGGGCUUGGAGUGCACGCCAGGGGAGUCCCAGGCUGCCCACGAGGGUGGAGGGCGCGCCCCCUACCUCGUGAGCCACCCGGAGGUCCACCGACGUACCCCCUGCACCCAUAUAUACCUACGUACCCUAAAACUUCCAGAACAGAAAAUAGAUCGGGAGUUCCGCCACUGCAAGCCUCUAUAGCCACGAAAAACCAAUCGGGACCCUAUUCCGGCACCCUGCCGGAGGGGGAUCCCAUCACCGGAGGCCAUCUUCAUCAUCCCGGCGCUAUCCAUGACGAGGAGGGAGUAGUUCACCCUCGGGGCUGAGGGUAUGUACCAGUAGCUAUGUGUUUGAUCUCUCUCUCUCUCUCGUGUUCUCUCUCGUGUUCCUCUAUGGCACGAUCUUGAUGUAUCCCGAGCUUUGCUAUUGUAGUUGGGUCUUAUGAUGUUUCUCCCCCUCUACUCUCUUGUGAUGAAUUGAGUUUCCCCCUUGAAGUUAUCUUAUUGGAUUGAGUCUUUUAUGAGAACACUUGAUGUAUGUCUUGCCGUGAUUAUCUGUGGUGACAAUGGGAUAUCAUGUGCCACUUGAUGUAUGUUUUGGUGACCAACUUGCGGGUUUCGUGACAUUGGGAACCUAUGCAUAGGGGUUGGCACACGUUCUUGACUCUCCGGUAGUAGCUUUGGGGCACUCUUUGAAGUACUUUUAUGUUGGUUGGAUGAAUCUGAGAUUGUGUGAUGCAUAUCAUAUAAUCAUGCCCACGGAUACUUGAGGUGACAAUGGAGUAUCUAGGUGACAUUAGGGUUUUGGUUGAUUUGUGUCUUAAGGUAUUAUUCUAGUACGAACUCUUCUAUAGAUCGAUCCGAACGAAUAACUUUGUGGUGGUUUCGUACCCGACCAUAAUCUCUACGUUUGUUCUCCGCUAUUAGUGGCUUUGGAGUGACUCUUUGUUGCAUGUUGAGGGCUUGUCAUAUGUUCUAUCUAUGUUAUUAUUGUUGAGAGAACUUGCACUAGCGAAAGUAUGAACCCUAGGCCUUGUUUCCUAUCAUUGCAAUACCGUUUAUGCUCACAUUUAUCACUUGUUACCUUGCUGUUUUUAUUAUUUCAGAUUACAAAAACCUAGAUCUACUCUCUAUUUUUCACUUGUAUCACCAUCUCUUCGCCGAACUAGGGCACCCAUACAAUUUACCAUUGUAUUGGGUGUGUUGGGGACACAAGAGACUCUUUGUUAUUUGGUUGCAGGGUUGUUUGAGAGAGACCAUCUUCAUCCUACGCCUCCUACGGAUUGAUAAACCUUAGGUCAUCCACUUGAGGGAAGUUUGCUACUGUCCUACAAACUUGUGCACUUGGAGGCCCAACAACGUCUACAAGAAGAAGGUUGUGUAGUAGACAUCAAGCUCUUUUCUGGCGCCGUUGCCGGGGAGGCUAGGUAAAGGGCGCUAACUCACACCCCGUCAACUAAGCUCUUUUCUGGCGCCGUUGCCGGGGAGGUUAGCGCUUGAAGGUAUAUCUUUAGAUCUUGCAAUCGAAUCUUUUUGUUUCUUGUUUUAGCACUAGUCUAGUUUAUAAAAGAAAACUACAAAAAAAUGGAGUUGAGUUUGUCUCAUACGCUUCACCUUUUUAAUAUCUUUCGUGAGUAUGAUGGAAAGGAUAAUUGUGCUCAAGUGCUAGAAGAAGAAAUCUCUAAUUUUUUUGGCACUAAAUCUUUGAAUGAUGAGCAUGAUUGCAAUGUUGUUAGUACGAAUUCUUUGAAUAUCCAUGAUGCUAAUGAUGACUGCACUAGUUAUGAUGAAAAUAUCUCUUAUGAGCAUGUCAACUUUUGUGGAGUGCAUGUUUACAUGAACACACCAAAUAGAGAAGAUAUUUAUUGCAAGAGGCAUAAGUACUUAUAAACCAAAUUGUUGCAAGAAGAGCUAGAUGAAUGUGCUGAAAGAUUCAAUAUUUUUCGCGCUCCUUGUGAACUUUGCAAUGAACAUGGUCAUUUAAAGAUCCAAUGCUAUUUGUUUCAUGAUCAAGUUGUGUCCAAAUAUUGUGAUAAUUUGAUUACCCUUGAGCAUCAUAAAGAGCUUAGCCUUCUUUUGGGUUAUGAAGAAAUGAAACGUAUAAUUGAGGGUAUUCCAAAAUUUAAUCUUGAUAGAUUUCUUGAUUUUGAUCUAGAGAAGAUUUAUAUGUAUUGUGCGGUGAAUUGCAUCGAAAAUCCUUAUAUUGCCAAUUACCUAAAGAAAAGAAAGCAAAUGGAAGAUGAUGAGAAUACUAAUGAAAGGGAAGAGGCUUCCCAAUCUCCUCCUAUUAUUUCUAAUGAUGAAUCAGGUAACGAGGAGGAGCUUUCUAUUCAACCAAUCUCAUCAAUAAGGAGCUCAAAGAGGAAGGUUGAGCCUACACAUAAUGUGAAGAAGAAAAAGAAAAGAAGGAGAAAAAAAGGUAAAAAGGUAUCCCUCCCAAAUGAUGUUGACCCUACUACUACUUGUGAUGAUGAUAAUUGCUAUACUAUUGGUGCUAUCAAUAUUUUUAAUGAUGAGAGUGAUUAUGCUUAUGAUAUGAAAGGGCCCAAGCUUGGGGAAGCUAUUGUUUGAUUGGGAUGAAAUAUUUGAGAAUAUAUUUGUUGGAAUUAAUGUUUGUCCCAAGCUUGGGGAUGCUAUGUUUAAUGAAGAUGAUAUUUUUAGCAUCCCAAGUUUUGAUAUGCAAAGUUGUUAUGAUGAUAGCAUGCCUCCUACCUAUGAUGAUUAUAUUGAUGAAAGUGGGUUCGGAAGAGAGUCAACUUUAGGUAGUGAUCCCACUAUUUUGGAGGAUGUUGAAUUUUAUUGUGAUGAAUACGAAAGUGGAUUUGGAAGAGUGUCAACUUUAUUUAGUGAUUCCACUAUCUUGGGAGAGGUUUCAAUCGAUUAUGAUGAGAACGAAGUUGCUACUUAUGAUGAUUAUUGUGAUGAAACUUAUGCUAUAAAAAAUAGUUAUGAUUAUAUUUACAAAUCUUGUCAUGAUUAUGAUUACCUUUUUUCUGAACAUUACUCUUUUAAUGUGGAAACAAUUUUUAGUGUUCAAGUCUCUUAUGAUACUUCUACUAUUCCGAAUGAGAAGAAUUUUGCUUAUGUGGAGAGUACCCAAAUUUCUAUGCUUGUAGAUCAUGAAAAGAAUUCUUUAGGUGCUGGUUAUAUUGUUGAAUUCAUUCAUGAUUCUACUGAAAAUUAUUAUGAGGGAGGAACAUAUGCUUGUAGGAAUUGCAAUAAUAUCAAGUUUCCUCCCUAUGUGCUUAAAAUCUUGAAGUUAUGCUUGUUUUACCUUCCUAUGCAAGUUGAUUCUUGUUCUCAUAAGUUGUUUGCUCACAAAAUCCCUAUGCAUAGGAAGUGGGUUAGACUUAAAUGUGCUAGUCAUAUGCUUCAUGAUGCUCCCGUUAUGUUUCAAUUCUUAUCUUUUAUGUGAGCAUCAUUGCCAUCAUCAUGUCUAGCUAGAAAGGCAUUAAAGAAAAGCGCUUAUUGGGAGAGAACCCAAUAUUUAUCUUUGUUUGUACACAUGAUUAUGCUACUGUAGUAAUCAUGUUUUAUAGCUUUUGUUUCAAUAAAGUGCCAAGUAAGACCUUUAGGAUGGCUUACGGUGAUAGUUGUGUUGAUCCUGCUGAAAAUCAGAAACUUUUGCACCCAGUAAAUUAGUUUUUGUAAUUCACCGAAACAUGCUUAUGAUCUAAUUAUUUUUGCUCUGGAUUGUUACACAAAUUUCUUAGGACUUCCUAAUUUGGUAGGAUUUUUGGUGUUCCAGAAUUAUACGUUUGAUAUAGAUUACUACAGACUGUUCUGUUUUUGAGAGAUUUUGUUUUCUAUGUGUUGUUUGCUUAUUUUGAUGAAUCUAUGAGUAGUAUCGGAGGGUAUGAACCAUAGAUAAGUUGUAUUACAGUAGAUAUUACACCAAUAUUAAUUUAGAAUGAGUUAAUUACAGUACCAAUGUGGUGGAUUUGUUUUCUUUCACUAACGGAGCUUAUAAGAUUUCGUGUUGAGUUUUGUGUUGUGAAGUUUUCAAGUUUUGGGUAAAGAUUAGAUGGACUAUGGAACAAGGAGUGGCAAGAGCCUAAUCUUGGGGAUUCCCAAGGCACCGCAAGUUAAUAUUCAAGAAUAGCCAAAAGCCUAAGCUUGGGGAUGCCCCGAAAGGCAUCCCCUCUUUCGUCUUCGUUCAUCGGUAAACUUUACUUGGAGCUAUAUUUUUAUUCGCCACAUGAUAUGUGUUUUGCUUGGAGCGUCAUUUUCUCUUGUUAGUUUUUGCUUUCUGUUAGUUAGAAUAAUGUUUUGCAUCUUUAGUUUCAAUAAAAAAGUCAAGGAUAGCCUUUGCCAUGUUUAUUUUGCUACUAUACAUGUUGCUGUUUGAAAACAGAAAGUUUACCACUGUUGCAAAAAUUCCCUAGAAAAGUCAGAGAAUGGUCUAACGUUGAAUCUUUUUGCAUAUUGAGCUCUGAUAAAUUUACUACAGUGGGAAUUUUAGUUCAUAAUUUUUGGAGUUAGCGAAGUGUUGAUACUCCUGCAUUAUUUACAGACUGUACUGUUUUGACAGAUUGCUGUUAUGUUUGCGUUGUUUGCAUAUGUUUGUUUGUUUAAUGAUUCUAUUUGAGGAUAGGAGUAUUAAAUAUGCAGAGGCAUUUAGUAUUAAAUGUUGAAUAAUAAUUUUAGUGAUUUGUUACAGUAGAAAAUGAUAAGGUUUUGCAUUGGUUUAUACUAACCUAUCUCACGAGUUCUUGUUGAGUUUGUUGUGAAUGAAGCUUUUGAUAAAAAGAGAAACCAUGAUAUGAGAGGAAUUAAGGAGACACAAAAGCUCAAGCUUGGGGAUGCCCAAGGAACCCCAAUAUAAUAUUUCAAGAAGUCUCAAGCAUACAAGCUUGGGGAUGCCCCGGUAGGCAUCCCACCUUUCUUCUUCAACAACCAUUGGUUAGUAUCGGUUGAGCCUAAGUUUUUGCUUCUUCACAUGAGUUGUGCUAUCCUUGCAUUGUAGUUUCCUUUAGCUUUGCUUGCUGUUUGAAUAAAGUAUCAAGGUCUGAAAUUCUUUAAUGAGAGAGAGCCAUAUAUGAAUUGGAAUUUGCUAGAAUACUCUAUGUGCUUCACUUAUAUCUUUUGAGCUUGAUAGUUUUGCUCAUAGUGCUUCACUUAUAUCUUUUGAGCUUGAUAAUUUUUGCUCUAGUACUUCACUUAGAUCUUUUAGAGCACGGUCGUGGAUUUGUUUUAAAGAAACUAUUGAUCUCUCAUUCUUCACUUAGAUUAUUUUGAGAGUCUUUAAUAGCAUGGUAAUUUGCUUAAUAUUAAUAUACUUGGUGUUCAAGAUAUGUGAAACUUUCUUUUGAAUGAAUUGAAUACUAAGAUAAGUUUGAUGCUUGAUAAUUGUUUUGAGAUAUGGAGGUAGUGAUAUUAAAGUGAUGCUAGUUGGGUGAUUAUGAAUUUGAGAAAUACUUGUGUUGAAGUUUGCAAGUCCCAUAGCAUGCACGUAUGGUGAACAACUUUGUGAUGAAGUAGGAGCACAAUUUUAUUUAUUGAUUGUCUUCCUUAUGAGUGGCGGUCGGGGACGAGCAAUGGUCUUUUCCUACCAAUCUAUCCCCCUAGGAGUAUGCGCGUAGUGCUUUGGUUUUUGAUGACUUCUAAAUUUUUGCAAUAAGUAUAUGAGUUCUUUAUGACUAAUGUUGAGUCCAUGGAUUAUACGCACUCUCAUCCUUCCACCAUUGCUAGCCUCUCUUGUGCUGCACAACUUUCGCCGGUACCAUACACCCACCAUAUACCUUCCUCAAAACAGCCACCAUACCUACCUAUUAUGGCAUUUCCAUAGCCAUUCCGAGAUACAUUGCCAUGCAACUUUCCACCGUUCCGUUUAUUAUGACACGCUCCAUCAUUGUCAUAUUGCUAGCAUGAUCAUGUAGUUGACAUCGUAUUUGUGGCAAAGCCACCGUUCAUAAUUCUUUCAUACAUGUCACUCAUGAGUCAUUGCACAUCCCGGUACACUGCCGGAGGCAUUCAUAUAGAGUCAUAAUUUGUUCUAAGUAUCGAGUUGUAAUUGUUGAGUUGUAAGAAAAAUAAAAGUGUGAUGAUCAUCAUUAUUAGAGCAUUGUCCCAAGUGAGGAAAGGAUGAUGGAGACUAUGAUUCCCCCAUAAGUCGGGAUGAGACUCCGGACGAAAUAAAAAAAGAGGCCAAAGAAGCCCCCAAAAAAAGAGGCCAUAAAUAAAAGAGAAAAGGCCCAAAUAAAAAUAAAUAAAAAAAUGAGAGAAAAAGAGAGAAGGGACAAUGCUACUAUCCUUUUACCACACUUGUGCUUCAAAGUAGCACCAUGAUCUUCAUGAUAGAGAGUCUCCUAUGUUGUCACUUUCAUAUACUAGUGGGAAUUUUCCAUUAUAGAACUUGGCUUGUAUAUUCCAAUGAUGGGCUUCCUCAAAAGUGCCCUAGGUCUUCGUGAGCAAGCGAGUUGGAUGCACACCCACUUAGUUUCUUUUGUUGAGCUUUCAUAUGCUUAUAGCUCUAGUGCAUCCGUUGCAUGGCAAUCCCUACUCACUCACAUUGAUAUCUAUUGAUGGGCAUCUCCAUAGCCCGUUGAUACGCCUAGUUGAUGUGAGACUAUCUUCUCCUUUUUGUCUUCUCCACAACCACCAUUCUAUUCCACCUAUAGUGCUAUGUCCAUGGCUCACGCUCAUGUAUUGCGUGAAACUUGAAAGAGUUUGAGAUUACUAAAGUAUGAAACAAUUGCUUGGCUUGUCAUCGCGGUUGUGCAUGAUUAAAUACUUUGUGUGAUGAAGAUAGAGCAACAGCCAGACUAUAUGAUUUUGUAGGGAUAACUUUCUUUAGCCAUGCUAUUUUGAGAAGACAUGAUUGCUUUGAUUAGUAUGCUUGAAGUAUUAUUACUUUUAUGUCAAUAUGAACUUUUGUCAUGAAUCUUUCCGAUCUGAAUAUUCAUGCCACAGUUAAGAAGAUUUACAUUGAAAUUAUGCCAAAGUAUCACUCCACAUCAAAAAUUCUUUUUUAUCAUCUACCUAAUCGAGGAAGAGCAGGAAUUAAGCUUGGGGAUGCUUGAUACGUCUCCAACAUAUCUGUAAUUUUUGAUUGCUCCAUGCUACUUUAUCUACUGUUUUAGGCAAUAUUGGGCUUUAUUAUCCACUUUUAUAUUAAUUUUGGUACUAACCUAUGAACCGGAGGCCCAACCCAGGUUUGUUGUUUUAUGCCUACACUACAAGGAUACCCCCUAUAAAGCAACACAUAUUCUACAUCGUUUCAACUAUUUGUUGCAAAAUUCACGGUAGAUACGCAUAUAAGCGGUGUAGCAUAUGCGUUGCAGGCUUGAGGCUCAUGACCCUGUCGUGGUGCAACAGAUCUUAUUUGUUGCUAUGUAUUGGUUGCAAAUUGUAUCAAUUAUAAGACUACAAAUAUACAAAAAUUAAAAUAAAAAUUAAUUCAGCACAAAAAGAAAUAAGGUAUGUGGGGCGCGAAAAACAUUGUUUUAGAGAUAUGUGGCACGAAAAUCUGUUCUAACCGUCCAAGCAAAACUAAAUCGCGUGAAGUCCAUCACUUUUAUUCUCCGAUUCAGAUUGAUAUUCGCCUUCAAGUCCGGAUCGAUCUAGGUCUAGUACGACACAAAUCAAUCAUCCAAUCUCCUCCCGCUGAGCGGAAAGGCUAGAAGGCGAACGGACAGGGGGCGGUGGGAAGGCGGCGAUGGACAGGGCGGCGGGAAGGCGACGAUGGAUAGGGGAGUGGCGGCUUUGUGGGCAGCAAACAAUUUAGAAGCCGCAAGGCCGCAGUAGGAAAGCUGCAAGUCGUCUGCUGCUUGCCUCCCCUGCUCCUCUGUCGGCCCAUCCAGCCUGCCCGCCGGCGGCGCGCCGCUCCUCCGGCCACCCUUCUUCUCCCUCACCGUGUACGAGCGAGACUGGCCUCCGACUCCGAGGUAACCCUCCCUCCCUUCCUCCUUCCCGUCUCCUCUCAUCCAGUGACCUUAUUCAUGGCCACCUCUAGACAUGGCCGUGGGAUGUGAUUUGGUAGAUAAUGAAGGGGUUGGACUGUCAGAUAGGAGAUGGGUCCAUUCCCCUGUCUUUGCGAUCAAAUCAACUGAGAGAGAGAGGAGCUUCGGGCUUGUUACAAUUUCAGAGAUGUACUGUACCACCUGGGCUAUGUUCAGUUUGUGAUUUGUUCCCAAUAGUGAAUUGAUCAAUACGAGGUUUGAGUGAAACCUCUUUCUGUCAUUCUAAUCCCUGUUGGGGUUUGUCCACUAUCCCUCCUAAUCCCUGUCUACUUCAUCGCUGUUGGGUUGGUCAAGGAUUGAACAGAAUUUAUACAGGAAUACAGUUUAAACGUUGCACUAAGUAAACAUUCAUCAAUGAAUUCACUUUGUACAGGGAAUGCUUGAAAUAUUCAGGGAAUGUAGUGUAAGCAUCGCACUGAGUAAACAUUCAUCUUUGAAUUCAGUUUUUCAGGGAAUAUUUGAUACAGUUAUUAUAUAGUGUAAGCAAGGCACAUCCACAGUUAGAAAUUAUAGUUGAAGUUUCAGAAAUAUUCAAGAUUUUGGGACUGUAAAUAUUUAAAACAAUUUUUUAAUGUGAGUACAUCAUGACCAACACAUAAUAGCAUCUCUCUGAACUGUGUGAUCUCCCCCAGCUUCAGUCUUUCAUUGUGUACCUGCCAUCACAAACGCCGGUAAAUUUUUAUUAUCAGUUACAAGUCACUGAAAAUGUGGCAUGGAUUUGCACAACGAAAAAGGUAAGUAAUUCAGUCAAUCAUGAUUAGAAUGUUGGUUGACCUAAGAAAAAGUGUACAAAGUCCUAGUACUCUUUCUCCCUUCUAUUUUUAAAUGGCAUCCCUUAUUGUCAUAUCCACUACGAAACUAAUAACAUUGAAUUUAUAGUUUCAGUAUAGAGUCCAUGUAUAUAUGGGAGUAAGAGAACACAAGUGAGAAUACUCAGAACAAGGACCCUAUUUGCAAUAUAAAUAGGAACAUGUAUGUACAGGACUCUUCUAAGGUAAUAACAGAUUUGUGCCCAGGAAUGGAGAACAUCUAUAAUAAGAACAAAGGCAAAUAUUAUUUUCUUAUGAAGCAAAUGUACAAGAAGGUUUAAAAAAUAUAACAGAUGUCUACUAAACUAAACGACGAUUUUGAGAAUCUAUUCCGAGUAGUACUCCGAAUCCAGUGUUGAUUCUUUAUCCAAAUCUGAAUAACAGGGACAACAUGAGAGAUGAUUACAUGUACCUGUAUAUUUAUAUAGGUUAAGAGUAAUACUUGGACCUAUAUCAAAUCAGUGGGAGUACAUACACUUAUAUCAUUUGUUGACAGGACUAUUAGUAGUAUUUUCUGAAACUCAAGUGGACAAUAGUUUGAAAAUGCACAAAGAUGUCACUCUGAAGAUGCACCUUGAUUAAACUUAUUGUUGACUUCCAUUUAUUUCCCUUAACAUGUGAAUGCCUCUCUGUUUAGCCUCUCGGUUUCCUGGAAGAUCAAUUAUUUAUUUUACUUGGCUUGGGUGUUUCUUGUGUUCAUCUCAGCUUAGCUCCUUGCCGGUUUCAGUCAACCAAGAAAGAAAAAUAAAUCCUUGAACUUUGGGACUAGCUGAACUUUGGCAGCUGCAGCUGGUGUUGUAUAAUGAUGAAAAUUCAAUCGAUCAACAAUUGAAUUGGACUAGUUGAACUUGCUAGCCAUUGUCGUACAAGAGGUGAAAGCUAGUUAUACUAUUUACUGCUUGUGAUGCAUGAUGUUUUCACAUAUAUUACCUAGCUGUACUAUGUGUUCACAAAUUUAUUGUCAUUCUGUGAUGUUGGAUGCCAAGUUUACCAUUGUUAGGAAAUGGUGUACAAUCCGCCGCCGCAAGCCUCUGUAGCAACCAAUCGGGACCCUGUUCCGCCACCCUGCCGGAGGGGAUCCCAUCACCGGAGGCCAUCUUCAUCAUCCCGGCGCUAUCCAUGACGAGGAGGGAGUAGUUCACCCUCGGGGCUGAGGGUACAUACCAGUAGCUAUGUGUUUGAUCCCUCUCUCUCUCUUGUGUUCCUCUAUGGCACGAUCUUGAUGUAUCCCGAGCUUUGCUAUUGUAGUUGGAUCUUAUGAUGUUUCUCCCCCUCUACUCUCUUGUGAUGAAUUGAGUUUCCCCUUUGAAGUUAUCUUAUCAGAUUGAGUCUUUUAUCAGAACACUUGAUGUAUGUCUUGCCGUGAUUAUCUGUGGUGACAAUGGGAUAUCAUGUGCCACUUGAUGUAUGUUUUGGUGAUCAACUUGCGGGUUUCGUGACAUUGGGAACCUAUGCAUAGGGGUUGGCACACGUUCUUGACUCUCCGGUAGUAGCUUUGGGGCACUCUUUGAAGUACUUUUAUGUUGGUUGGAUGAAUCUGAGAUUGUGUGAUGCAUAUCGUAUAAUCAUGCCCAAGGAUACUUGAGGUGACAAUGGAGUAUCUAGGUGACAUUAGGGUUUUGGUUGAUUUGUGUCUUAAGGUAUUAUUCUAGUACGAACUCUUUUAUAGAUCGAUCCGAACGAAUAACUUUGUGGUGGUUUCGUACCCGACCAUAAUCUCUACGUUUAUUCUCCGCUAUUAGUGGCUUUGGAGUGACUCUUUGUUGCAUGUUGAGGGCUUGUCAUAUGUUCUAUCUAUGUUAUUAUUAUUGAGAGAACUUGCACUAGCGAAAGUAUGAACCCUAGGCCUUGUUCCUAUCAUUGCAAUACCGUUUACGCUCACGUUUAUCACGUGUUACCUUGCUGUUUUUAUUAUUUCAGAUUACAAAAACCUAUAUCUACUAUCUAUUUUGCACUUGUAUCACCAUCUCUUCGCCGAACUAGUGCACCCAUACAAUUUACCAUUGUAUUGGGUGUGUUGGGGACACAAGAGACUCUUUGUUAUUUGGUUGCAGGGUUGUUUGAGAGAGACCAUCUUCAUCCUACGCCUCCUACGGAUUGAUAAACCUUAGGUCAUCCACUUGAGGGAAAUUUGCUAUAGUCCUACAAACCUGUGCACUUGCAGGCCCAACAACGUCUAUAAGAAGGUUGUGUAGUAGACAUCAGACCGCCACCCAGGCUCAAAGGAUCAUGAGAUUUUUCAUGCUAGAAACUUCCGUGUGCAGCCGCAAGCUACUAUGGGCUCUAGCAUAGUUGAGUAUGUUGUGUGACCUCUUUCAGUGGUAGACUAGCAGAUGUAGGGGAUGUAGGUUGGUAAUGUCUACCCAGAGUAAAGAUUAAUGCUUCUGAAAGACUGUGUCUCGGUCAUCCGUUUCUCAAACACCAUGUAGUGCGAGAAAUCCAACAGAGCAGAUCGAGUCUUGCUGGCAAAAGUGUGCAAACCUUUGCAGAGUGUAUAAACUAAUCAUGGUUAGCCGUGUCCUCGGUUAUGGAUGUUUUGAGUAUCUAGUACUUGGAUUAUCAUGUGAAUCUCAUCAUGUUACUUAAUUUAAUUUGAUUGUGUCAAUGAUGAUGCUUAAUUGGGAUUGAGUUGGAGGAACCUUCUCAAUGUUUAACAGCCACCAUGAUAGUUAAAUAAAAUUUAUUCCUUUGUUGUAGGGAAAAAUUGGCUUUAUGCACAACUGUAACCAUAGAGCUUUCCACCAGCCAUAUAUGCAUGUAGUGAUAGCAUUAUUCUAUUCAUUACUCUCUAUGUGUUACAUUGCCAGCAUAUUCCAUGUGCUGACCCAUUUUCGGGCUGCAAUGUUCAUGUUGCAGACUUUUCAGACAACGAGUAAGGUGCCUUAGGUCGUGAUCUUUCACUCACUGAUGCCGUUGGAGUUGAUGGACUCACUUUAUUUUCCAAGCCUUCCGCUGUUAUUGUUAUUAGAUGGCCUUAAGCCAUAUUUAUUGUAAUAAGUUCUCUCUGGAGACAUUCAUUGUAAUAAGUGUGUGAUUGCUACUGUGUUAUAAAUCCUUCAAGUACUAUGCGUGUUAGCAUUACCGAUCCAGGGAUGACACUGAUGCACAGAGAUCAGACUGUUUGAGGUCUGGUCGCUACAAGAUGGCAUCAGAGAACACGCUGACUGUAGGACACGACCACUAAGCUAACGCCCUAGAUUACUACUCUCUUCUCAUUUCUGACUCCUCACCUUUUCUACUCUUUUAGGAUGGAGGAUGCAAGGAAAAAGUUCGCGCAACCGGAUGAAGAUACACCCUUUGGACGUCACUUGACGGAAGUCACUAGAUAUCUGAACAUCAGAGUACCAAGCUUCACCGAGACCUACAUCACCACUUUACCAGAAGAGGAGCGUUGGAUGAUUCAAGUUCAAGUUCCAGGAAGGACGUUCAUGCCCGUCACUCAGCCCAUAGAGUUUUCCUUUGAUGCACCAACCUGGAGUCUAGGAAAGAGCAUGGCAGCCCACAUCACCAUGGGAUGCAUUGGAGAAGUUUACCAUAAUGAUCUCAAGGAUACUAUCUACCAGAUUUGUGGGCACCGAGAUGAGCACCAGGAAGGAUAGAUCCAUUGCAGCUUUCAUCCAGGAGUUAAACCAGCACAUUCGCCACCAGGAGAACCAGAUGUGUGCAGGCAUGAUAGAUCUGAAGAAGGCAAUGACCAAGAUCACGGAGAUGGAGGAAGAACUCAAGUCUACACGUGAUGGAUAUGAGGAGGAAAUGACGACACUCCUGGAGAAGAAUGAUGAUCUGAAGAAGAAGCUAAAAGUUUUCAUGGGAUUUCCCGCGCCAAGAGGAGAUGACGACGAUUGCACUUGCCCGGAGAACUACAUCAUCAUCGACGACACCGACUCAGACCCUGACGAUAGCGAUGAUGACUUUUUUGAUGAAGCUGGAGCAGAUAUCAUGGAGUCUUCGACCGAUCAAUUUUCUAGAUGACCACCAUAACAGUAGUAGUAUUUCCCCCAUGUAUAUAGUAUAGUCCGAGAACUUUUGUAACGAUAGUUAGAUCGUUGUAUGCCCUUGUUUGAAAUGAUUGAAGUGAUACGAUUGUGUUUGUCUCAUGUGUAUAUGGGUAGUGUCUUUUUCUCUCUAGACCUCAUUCUAUUAUGUAUUCUCAUCUUUUCUCAACACUCAGAUGCCUCCGAGACGUGACAAUGGAUUUGCUUUCCCACCGGAGCUCACUCAGUUGAUCCAGCAGCGGAAUGCAUUGAUGCAGAUGCUAGUCCAGAAUCAGAAUCAGGGGAACAACAACAACAACAACCCACCACCACCACCACCUGUUGAUCACUUAGCCCGUUUCUUGAGGCUGAAUCCGCCGGUGUUCUCCAGUAGCACCGAGCCGAUAGUUGCAGAUGAUUGGCUCCGCAAUAUGGGAAGGGAGUUGACCACUGCAAGAUGCAAAGAUGCGGAGAAGGUGCAUUUUGCCGCACAUCAGCUUGAUGGACCCUCAGCAUCAUGGUGGGAGAAUUUCACAACCACUUAUCCCAUCGACACUGUCACAUGGGACCAGUUUUAACAGGCUUUCCGUACUGCCCAUGUUUCAGCAGGAGCUAUGGCCAUGAAGAAGUGUGAGUUUCGCAACUUGCACCAAGGAGGACGUACAGUUGGCCAGUAUGUGGAUGACUUUAGUAAGCUAGCACGUUAUGGCCCAGAUGACGUUGCUACGGAUGCAGCUAAGCAGAAGAAGUUUCUGGAAGGACUGAAUGAUGAGUUGGGCAUGAAGUUGAUGGUGGCAACCUUCAAUAACUACCAAGAGUUGGUGGAUAGAGCUCUCAUGAUUGAAGGGAAGCAGCAACACAUUGACAGCCGCAAGAGGAAGUAUGUACAAGGGAAGUACAAUUCUGGAGCUCAGCGGAAACCUUGUUUUACCCCGAACUCGGGAGGACCUUUUCAGCAUACCCAUGGAGGUCACAACCACAAUGGAGGGAGUUCGCACAACCAUAGUGGCCCCAAGAAUGGCAAUGGGAAUGGGGGAAGAAACGGUCAGAACCAUACCAACCCAUCAACACCAACCAAGAGGGAUCUAAGCCACAUUACCCGUUUCAAGUGCCAGAAGACUGGACAUUAUGCCACUGAAUGUCCUGAAGCUAAGAAUGGAAAUGGCAAUGGAAGCUCUGGGAAGAAGCCGAACCCUUUCAACACGGGACAGGUGAACCACGUUAAGGUGGAGGAGGUUGAAGCCCAGCCAGAUGCAGUAAUAGGUAAGUUUUAGGUUGUCAUUUACUGCAAUCAUUCUUUUUUAUGCUGGUGCAUCACAUUAAUACAUAUCAAGGGGAUUUGUGGAUAAGUAUAAACUACCAACCCAAGCCCUUAGGUCACCCAUGUUAGUAACCUCGCCAGGAGCAUAGUAUAUGGCUAGUCUAUGGUGUGAUCGGUUACCAUUAAGGAUUGGUAACUAUGUGUUCCCCUCAGACCUAAUAGUAUUGGAGUCGCAAGGACUGGAUGUGAUAUUAGGCAUGGAUUGGUUAUCAAAGUAUGCAGGGAACAUAGAAUGCGCCAGUAAGUCAAUCUUGCUUACCACCCCAGAAGGAAGAAGGAUCAAGUAUGUAUCCCGGCAUGUGCUGAAGAGGACUCAAGUAAAUUCCUUAUUAGGAGUUGUACAGGAAGAGGUACCAGUGGUGAAGGAUUUCCCUGACGUAUUUCCAGAAGAGUCGCUAGGCAUGCCACUAGAUAGAGACAUUGAGUUUUUGAUUGAGCUUUUGCCAGGCACCGAGCCGAUAUCUAAGAGACCGUACAGGAUGCCUGCAAAGGAUCAAGGAGUUACUGGAUAAAGGCUCUAUUCUCCCAAGUUCGUCACCUUGGGGAUCACCAGUGCUUCUAGUGGAGAAGAAGGAUGGAUCAUUGAGGAUGGUUGUUGAUUAUCGAGGAUUGAAUGAAGUGACAAUCAAGAACAAGUACCCACUGCCGAUGAUCAAUGAUUUGUUUGACCAGUUACAAGGAGCUAAGGUAUUUUCCAAGAUCGGUUUGCGAUCAGGAUACCACCAGUUGAAGAUUCGAGAGCAGGAUAUACCUAAGACGGCUUUUACCACUAGGUACGGGCUGUAUGAGUAUACCAUUAUGUCAUUUGGUCUGACUAACGCACCUGCCUAUUUCAUGAACAUGAUGAACAAGGUGUUUAUGGAGUUUCUGGAUAAGUUCGUCCUGGAGUUCAUUCAUGAUAUUCUGGUCUACUCAAAGAAUGAAGAGGAGCAUAAGGAGCAUUUGCGUUCGCUACUUGGGAAGCUCAGAGAACAUCAGCUAUAUGCCAAGUUCAGCAAGUGUGAGUUUUGGUUGAAGGAAGUUGGAUUCCUCGGACAUGUUUUAUCCGGAGAAGGAAUAGCAGUAGACCCCACCAAAGUUGUCACUGUGACUAAUUGGGAAGCACCCACGUCAGUUGGAGAGAUCCGGAGUUUUCUCGGACUUGCAGGAUACUACAGGAGGUUCAUUGAGAAUUUCUCGAAGAUUGCAAAGCCCAUGACGGAGUUGUUGAAGGGCACAAAGUUCAAAUGGACUGAGGAAUGUGAGGCUAGUUUUCAAGAGUUGAAGAAACGUUUGGUUACAUCACCGGUGUUGAUUCUGCCAGAUCAGCGCAAGGAUUAUGAAGUAUAUUGCGACGCUUCUCGUCGAGGACUUGGAGCAGUGCUUAUGUAGGAGGGAAGAGUUGUUUCAUAUGCCUCACGACAACUUAAGCCCCAUGAGUUGAAUUAUGCCACACAUGAUUUGGAAUUAGCAGCCGUAGUGCAUGCAUUGAAGACAUGGAGACAUUUUCUUAUCGGAAACCAUUGCGAGGUGUAUAUGGAUCACAAGAGUUUGAAGUACAUCUUCAUGCAGAAGGAGUUGAAUCUCAGGCAAAGGAGAUGGUUGGAGCUCAUUAAGGAUUAUGAUAUGAGAUUGCAUUAUCACCCUGGAAAGGCUAACAUAGUAGCCGAUGUGUUGAGCCGCAAGAGCCAUGUCAACACACUCUUGACCGGAGAAUUACCAAAGGAGUUAGUCAAGGAUCUUCGCGAGCUAUGUUUGGAGAUAGUUCCGAGAGGCUAUGUAGCAGCAUUGGAGAUUCAGUCUACUUUGAUGGAUAAGAUCAGAGAAGCUCAGAAGACAGAGAAGGAGAUUGCCGAGAUAAAGGAGAAGAUGGGCAAAGGAAAAGCUAAGGGAUUUUGUGAGGAUGAGCACGAUACCUUAUGGUUUGAGGACCGCGUUUAUGCCUAAUGACCCGGAGAUCAGGAAGUUGAUUCUACAAGAGCCCAUGAUUCACCAUAUUCGAUUCACCCAGGAAAUACCAAGAUGUAUCUGGAUUUCAAGGACACUUUCGGGUGGACCGGAAUGAAGAAGGAUAUUGCGGAGUAUGUAGCAGUUUGUGAUGUAUGUCAGAGAGUGAAGGCAGAGCAUCAGAAGCCAGCCGGAUUGCUACGGCCAUUGCCGAUACCCGAAUGGAAGUGGGAUAAGCUAGGCAUGGAUUUUUUCACGGGAUUGCCCAGGACAUGUUCAGGCUAUGACUCGAUAUGGGUUGUAGUCGAUCUGUUGACGAAGGUAGCGCAUUUCAUCCCAGUGAAGACCACUUACACAAGUGCUAAGUUGGCAAAGAUAUACAUGACCAGGAUCGUAUGUCUGCAUGGAGUUCCGAGGACCAUUGUAUUAGAUAGAGGACCCCAGUUUACCUCAAAGUUCUGGGAUCAGUUGCACGAAACUUUGGGUACCAGGCUAGAGUUCAAUACAGCCUUUCAUCCACAAACAUAUGGACAGACCGAGAGAGUCAAUCAGAUUCUGGAGGACAUGCUGAGAGCUUGUGCACUAGAUUAUGGAUCUAGUUGGGACAACAAUUUGCCAUAUGGAGAGUUCUCUUACAACAACAGUUAUCAAUCCAGUUUGAAGAUGGCGUCUUUCGAAGCCUUGUACAGAAGGAGGUGCAGGACACCGUUGUUGUGGGAUGAAGUUGGAGACCGUUAGUUGUUUGGACCAGAUUUGAUUAAAGAGUCUGAAAAGAAGGUUAAUCUAAUUCACGAUAUGAUAAAGGUAGCCCAGUCCAGGCAGAAGAGCUAUACAGAUUCUAAACGCAAGGAGACAGUUUACAAAGUCGGAGACGGAGUUUAUCUUCGUGUGUCCCCACUUCGAGGAGUUAAGCAUUUUGGAGUUAAGGGAAAGUUAGCGCCACGUUUUGCGGGACCAUACAAAGUGUUGGAGCGUAUGGGAGAAGUUGCUUAAAAGUUGGAAUUGCCCGAAGGAUUGUCAGGAGUUCAUGAUGUGUUCCAUGUUUCCCAGUUGAAGAAGUGCCACGCAGAGAUGGCUGAUAUCCCUCUGAGAGAUACAGUACCACUAGAAGCGAUUCAGCUGGAUAGCGAUUUGACCUAUGAGGAGAAAACAAUCAAGAUUCUGGAGUUUGCCAGCUAAGUCACACGCAGCAAUGUUAUCAAGUUUUGCAAAGUUCAGUGGAGCCACCAUACCGAGGAUGAAGCCACCUAGGAGCAAGAGGAAGAUCUACUAAAGGACCACCCUCACCUAUUUUCUAGUCAACCCGAAUCUCGAGGGCGAGAUUCAUCUUAAGGGGGGUAGGUUUGUAACAUCCCAAAAUUUUCAAUUUAGAAUGUUAUACAUUAGAUCAUCAUUGAAUAUCAUAUUUUAUUGCAUUUUGGCUUGAUCCUAGAAAUUCCAUGCAACUCUAGGACCCACGGAGAGAGCUGGGAAUUUCGUUAUUUCAUAUUUGAGUUUUUCUCAAAUUUUGAAAAGAGGAUUAUUUGAUUUUAAUUAUUUUAUCUUCAAAUAUUUCUAUUAUAAAAAUAAGAGGGAAUAAAAUGACUUUCCCAAAAAUAAAGAAAUAUUGGGGAUUUAACAAUAAAAUCAAAUAGGAUUUUAUUUCGGAGUUUUAUCGCUAUUUUAUUUGAAUUAGGAAAAAUAUGCGUUUUUCAACUUUGCAUUUUAGGCCCAAACAAAUGUUCAUCUUGUCUGACUUAUUUUUAGAGGACGGGGAUAUUUUAUUUCAGGAUUUUUGGAGUCCGUUUAGUAUUUUUUUUUCUGCAUGUCGUAAUUAUUUAAAAAAAAGGAACCGACUUCGGGCCGUACCCGAGCGGGACUCCGCCCGGGGGGAUUUAUAAGUAGCCACCCUGGUGCCCGAAGCCCACCCCGCCAGCCCAACCUGCCACAGCCGCCAGAACCCUAGCUGCCGCAUGCGCCGCCCGCCGCCGCCGCCCGNNNNNNNNNNNNNNNNNNNNNNNNNNNNNNNNNNNNNNNNNNNNNNNNNNNNNNNNNNNNNNNNNNNNNNNNNNNNNNNNNNNNNNNNNNNNNNNNNNNNNNNNNNNNNNNNNNNNNNNNNNNNNNNNNNNNNNNNNNNNNNNNNNNNNNNNNNNNNNNNNNNNNNNNNNNNNNNNNNNNNNNNNNNNNNNNNNNNNNNNNNNNNNNNNNNNNNNNNNNNNNNNNNNNNNNNNNNNNNNNNNNNNNNNNNNNNNNNNNNNNNNNNNNNNNNNNNNNNNNNNNNNNNNNNNNNNNNNNNNNNNNNNNNNNNNNNNNNNNNNNNNNNNNNNNNNNNNNNNNNNNNNNNNNNNNNNNNNNNNNNNNNNNNNNNNCCCGUCGCCCCGUGCCACUGCCGCUCGCCGCCACCGCCGGAGCCGCCGGACCCCGCCGCCGCCUCGCCGGACCCGAGAUAGCCGCCGCCGUUUUUUUCUAAAAACCGUUCGGUUUUUUACUAAAAACUAUUCGGUUUUUUUAAACCCUAGAUCCGGUUUUUUAGAUCGGUUCAUCAGUAUUUCUCGGUUUAGUUAUUUAGCGGACAUUCGUUUUAACGAACGGUUUUUGUCGUUUAGCCGCAGACAGCGAACGUUCGUUCGUUAGCUUGUUCGUCAGUUUUUCUUUUUCUCGGAUUUUUCGUGAUUAUUUCCGAUCGCGAUUUCUGAUCUUAUUUUCGUUUUAGUAUAACUUUUCGCUCGUUUAUCGGAAUCAGGCGAUUCAAGCGCCUUGACUUUCAUCUCAAAACCCUCUUUCUGUUUAACCAACUCAAACAAGUUUUUACUACUAUAAAAUUCGACUUUGGUCCAGAUUAGUAAACGAAGCUUGUUUCUUUCGCCGUUUGAGUUUCGUUGCUUCUUUUGAUUUGAUUCUUUUUGCAAACCAGAGUUCUUAAGUUGAACUUUCUGGUUAGAUCUCUUAUUUGAGUUUUACCCGUGCAUUAGAUGAGUACUUAUUGUAUGCUUGUUUGUUUUCGAUAGAGUACCCGGAGUGCGCCGCUUGCUACUAUGAGUCUCUAGGUUUCACGGAUCAUCAACAAGACAAGUAACACUUUGAUCAUACCUCUUUACUACCCAGUUUUAUUGCAUUAUAUCAAUCCUCAAACAAUUGCAUGGUUAGGAUCUGAUUAAUAUGUGGGUUUUGGGAAGUAGAUGAGGUAGUACCUAUUACCUGUUUAUUAUCAAACCUUUGGGAGUUACUUCUAUGUUUGCUUAUACUGCUAUGCUAUGCUAGUAGACGUGGAUUGGGUGAGUAUAUCCAUGACAGAUGUGAGAUUGUUAAUUAAUCGUUUACUUAAGGUGGCAACUUUAAUACACAUCUCGGUGGAUUGAGGCAGCUGGGGAACCCAGUGUUGCCUGUAGUUUUUGGAAAUCCCGGGAUACCGUGUGAUUCUCCUAUGGACCGCCACCCAGGCUCAAAGGGAUCAUGAGAUUUUUCAUGCUAGAAACUUCCGUGUGCAGCCGCAAGCUACUAUGGACUCUAGCAUAGUUGAGUAUGUUGUGUGACCUCUUUCAGUGGUAGACUAGCAGAUGUAGGGGGUGUAGGUUGGUACUGUCUACCCAGACUAAAGAGUUAAUGAUUCUGAAAGACUGUGUCUUGGUCAUCCAUUUCUCAAACACCGUGUAGUGCAAGAAAUCCAACGGAGUAGAUCAAGUCUUGCAGGGAAAAGUGCGCAAACCUCUGCAGAGUGUAUAAACUAAUCAUGGUUAGUCGUGUCCCCGGUUAUGUAUGUUUUGAGUAUCUAGUACUUGGAUUAUCAUGUGAAUUCAUCAUGUUACUUAAUUUAAUUUGAUUGGGUUAAUGAUGAUGCUUAAUUGGGAUUGAGUUGGAGGAACCUUCUCAAUGUUUAACAACCACCAUGAUAGUUAAAUAAAAUUUAUUCCUUUGUUGUAGGGAAAAUUGGCUUUAUGCAAAACUGUAACCAUAGAGCUUUCCACCGGCCAUAUAUGCAUGCACUACGGGAAACAAUUAAUUUGCCCUCAGGGAACGCCUUUGCCGUCAGCUUUUCAUCGGGCAGACAGCAAAGAAACGGUUUGUCGUCAUCAGUAGAUGGCAAAGAAACACUGACGGUAAAAUACACUUUGCCGUCUGCGGAAAAAAACACAGACAACAAAGAGCUCACUUUUGCCACCUGCAAACAGAAACACAGACGACAAAAUACUUUGCCGUCUUUGUUUAUUUCUACAGACGGAAAAAUGUGCACUUUGCCAUCUGUAAAAAAAUAAAGACGGCGAAGAACAUUGCCGUCUGUAAAAAUAAAAUGAAGACGGCAAAGAGAAAGCACAUCACGCGGAUCAACUACGCGGAUUGAUGACAUGGCAUCGAUCCAACACCACCCGCUGCUCCUAUGCACGAUCCACACCAUCCAUCACCCCACCUGCCCACCAACAUGCACAACACCCCACCACCCCACCUGCCACACACGGACGCAGUCCACACCCACCCACGUGUUGCAUGUCUCCCUUAUCCUCUCAUACACGCACAAGAUUCACAUUCACACACGCACACACAUGCCACCAGCCCACCACCCACCCAUGCCCACGAUGCGGAUGUUGACCGGCUGGACGGCGAGCGGCGUGGAUGGCGACUGGCGCAAGGGAGGGCGGCGACCGGCGACUGGCGCAAGGGAGCGCGGCGCGGGAGCUAGCUUGGCGGCUGCACGGGCUAGGGCAGCGGUGGCCGCAUCGGUGCAGGGCUUGGCUGCGGCGGCCGCGACGGAGCGCGGCUGGGCGCCGACAUGGCGGUCGCGGGAUCCUCUUCCUCCAUCUUGCCGCGGACCUCCCCUCCUCUGCGCUCACGCUCGACGGCCUCGUCGACAUCGCCUAUGGACGGGGCGGCGGCCGCGUCGGUGCGUGGCUUCGAUGCGGCGGCCGCGGCGGACACGGCUGGGCGCCGGCACGGCGAGCAGGGCACAGCGGCCGUGGGAUCCUCUUCCUGCAUCUUGCCGCGCACCUUCCCUCCUCUACGCUCACGCUCGACGGCCUCGUCGACAUCGCCUAUGGACGGGUUGUGGCCAUGUCAGGGGAACGGAGCCCUCCACCUCCCCGGCCCCUUGUGCACUGGCGGCGCGGACCUCAACCUCCCCAGUGGCGUGGAGUCAACCACCUCCCGGCGGCGCGUGCGCUGCAAGGGCCAUUUGCCCAGUUCGUCAAAUAGAGUGGUCUUUUGUACAAGUUGAUGAAAUAGAGCUUGUUUGUUCGAUGGAUGAGUGAGUGCUGAUGGAUAUGUACUGUAAAUAGACUAGUUCUGUCAUGUAAAAUACGUUCCUUUGUCAUCGACUCUUAUACUGGUUGAUGCGAAAUUGCUAGGAAAGAUUUUGCCUACGCCUUCUAUCAUGUACGGCCUCUACACCAGCACUGUGGUCCAUAUUUUUUUAAAAUAAUAAAAACUUCUUUGCCGUCUCGGAUAUAUGGGGCUGACGGCGAAGGCUAGUCUAGCUGACGGCAAAGGCAUAGUCUAGCUGAAGGCAAAGAUGGUUUC